UACGAGUAAUGUCUUUGUGACAAGAACUUUCUUUGUCUUUUAUUCCCAUGUUUGAACUAGUAUAGGUCGGGGUUACACAUUAUGGUGCACAUCACUUUAUUUAUCAUCGUUACAUUGAACGCUCAUUGACUAAACAACGAUGAUCCAUCCAUCUUGUAUUGUAGGUCUUCAUUUCAUUGGCCACCGAUGCUUGUAAGACUAGUCUCAUAUGGUUGUUGUUGUGGAUAUGGUUGUUGAGGUUGGUGUGGUUGCUGGGGUUGCUGGGAAAUUGUUUGUUCUGGUUGCUGGGAUAAUUGUUGUUGGGGCUGUAGAAAUGGUUGUUGUGGUUGUUGGGGUAAUGGUUGUUGUGGUUGCAGGAUGGAUGGUUGUUGGGGUUGCUGGGGUUGGGGCUGGGGAAAUGAUUGUUGUGAUUGUUGGGGUUGCUGGGGAAAUGGUUGUUGCGGUCCUAGGAGGAAUGAUUAUUGUGGUUGUUGGGGGAAUGGUUGUUGNNNNNNNNNNNNNNNNNNNNNNNNNNNNNNNNNNNNNNNNNNNNNNNNNNNNNNNNNNNNNNNNNNNNNNNNNNNNNNNNNNNNNNNNNNNNNNNNNNNNNNNNNNNNNNNNNNNNNNNNNNNNNNNNNNNNNNNNNNNNNNNNNNNNNNNNNNNNNNNNNNNNNNNNNNNNNNNNNNNNNNNNNNNNNNNNNNNNNNNNNNNNNNNNNNNNNNNNNNNNNNNNNNNNNNNNNNNNNNNNNNNNNNNNNNNNNNNNNNNNNNNNNNNNNNNNNNNNNNNNNNNNNNNNNNNNNNNNNNNNNNNNNNNNNNNNNNNNNNNNNNNNNNNNNNNNNNNNNNNNNNNNNNNNNNNNNNNNNNNNNNNNNNNNNNNNNNNNNNNNNNNNNNNNNNNNNNNNNNNNNNNNNNNNNNNNNNNNNNNNNNNNNNNNNNNNNNNNNNNNNNNNNNNNNNNNUGCAGGGGGAAUGGUUGUUGGGGAAUUAUUUGUUCUGGUUGCUGGGGGAAUGGUAGUUGGGGCCGGGGAAAUGGUUGUUGGGGUUGCUGGGGGAAUGGCUGUUGUGGUUGCAGAGGGAAUGAUUGUUGGGUCUGGGGAAAUGGUUGUUGUGAUUGCUGGGAAAAUUGUUGUUGGGGUGUGGGAAAUGGUUGUUGCGAUGGAUAUGGUUGCUGUGAUGGAUAUGGUUGUUGUGGAUAUGGCUGUUGUAGAAAUGGUUGUUGUUGAUAGGAAAAUGAUUGUUGAGGUGAUUGUAAUUCUUUGUUGCUAGGGUUUAGCUGCCUAGCGGCAGUGGCGAUGUUCAUCGCCAUGGCAAGGAGGACAAAGAUGAGGAAGGUCUUCAUGUUGGAUUUGUGGUUACUACUGCUUGCUUGCUUUUGAUGCUUGUGGUCUAGGUGUGUGAAGUUUGGAUGAUGAAAUGUGGUCUUGGUGGUGCAUGUGUAUUUAUAGUUUUCAUGGCAUGGCUUGCUUUCUUCUUCCCACUCGCUUUUUGAAAAAGUGCACCAAUGCUUAUCCAACUAAUCAUUUGAUUUGUUGUGUUUGGUGCAACUACUUACUAGCAAGAUUUUGGAUUUUCAUGAUAGUUGCUUUUUGUUGAAAUCAUCUGGUUGUAAGGAAUGUUGGAUAAUGACCAAUGACUCAUCUUCUUCACUUUACACUGCAAACAUUGAUCUAAAUUAUAUCCUUUUUUGAAAUUUAGUUUGUGAAGCUCUACAUGUUGUUAGGCUUAUCUAUAUUGGCAUAGCUUGAGUGGAAUUAAGUUUGUAAGCUUGUGAGCGUCAUUAUGAUGGAUCACACUAUUAAUGUGAUGAUUGUACUACAAAUUAUCUUUCCAAAACUAAUUUUAUGUUUUUUCCCAAUAUGAUUCUAAGACGGAUAACCAGACAUGACUCAUCAAAUAACAAGAUAAACCGAGUAGCAAAUUGGGGUUAUAAGUUAUAACAUGGACUUUUCUCUAAGAUACACUAUCUUGUCUUGCAUGCUCUGUGAAUUUGAAAAGCAUCUACUAAUUUAUAUGCAAUUGAAACAAAAGUAGACCAGAAAGAUAAGCAAUGAAAUGAGAAUACUAUUAUGUGAAGCUCUACAUGUUUGGCAAGCAAUAAGAUACUGGAUACAUCUAUAUCUUCAAUCCUGACAAUUUUUCUCAUCCCUAUCAACUCUUUAUUGGCUGCCUUUACUGUAGUCAUCCCUUAAAUAAAAAUCACUUAAAGAUAAGUUUGGGAGCUAGUACCAGCAUCUAUCAUGUACAAGAUAAAAAACUAAGGCACAUAUAGUAGUCUAUUGACUAUAUUUAAUUUCAUGUGAUGUGAAAGCAUGUGGAGUAUAAGUUGGUUAAAUAUAAAAUUGUCCUUCAUACCAGUAGGGAAAGAAUAUGCAGUAUAAAGAUUAGAGCAUUAUUAAUAUGCUAUUAAAUGCUACAGGAUAAUCGAUAGUUCAAGUUAAGAACAACAAUAGCAUUCCAACUUUUGUUUUGUGCAAGUUAAGAACAUGCUAACAAAGUAACCUAAGCAAAUAAGUGCAACACCUUCACCUAUAAGGAAAUUUUGAAACUACACAAAAUGACCUAUUGUAAAGAAGGAAAAAAAUCUAAAGGUGAAUGAAAAGCAUGUUAAGUACAUUCAGGAUUCGGUUAUGCCUUCAUGGAUAACCUUUUAGAUGGUGACUUGUCAACCUUGAUGUGUGUCGGCAUGGAACGAGGACAAGAAGACAUCGUUACGUCGUACUUUGGGAAUUUCAUCAAACUGGUUGUGUGCGGGAACAAAUAUUUGUCGCCUCCCUGCUCAAAUCUCUCUUCAUGUCACUAAAUCCGACACUCCACCUACCAAAAUCAGCUGCAAGCCAGGGACAAUCAACAGGUUUCUCCGCCCGUAGCAUCUAUCACCAAAAGAAGUUCAGACUAUAGUCUUGUAGUUUAAAAUUUUGUAAUAACAAGCACUACUAGGUUGCUCUUGUUUGUACGUCUUCAUUAUGUACAACCCAUGGAACUUAAAAUGCAUGGGUCAUUCUUCGGUAUAUACAACCAAUGCAACCAAACAUGCAUUGGGCUUUUCUUUGUACAUCUUCAGGUUCUACAACCAAUGCAACAAAAAAUCCAUUGGGCAGUCUUCCAUUCUAGUCGGGCACCAAUAGUUAAACGAGGAGCUAAACAGUGUUGGAGUCUAAAACUACAUACAAUCAUGAAGCAGAGAGAUGCGACUUGGAAGUUGUGCUCCUGUGAGCUCGUAUUUUUGAAGAAAAAAGUAAUAUUUGUAUUUUGAAGUGGGAAAAAGUCCUAAAAAGGGAUGUUUUGCGGGUUAUAACUUACUAUUUUUGAGUCCUGGGCUGCAGGAAGGUCGUAAAAAAUCAAUGUGUUUUCCCAUUCAUGCAUGUUUCUUGGGUUAUAGGUCACGCUUUUGGUGUCCUAGGGAGAUCACUUCCCCAGUUGGGAACAUUAGGUGAUGAUUUUUAGCAAAACUCAUUGUUUUAGCCUAACUAGUUUCGAGGAUUGGUGGACAAGAUUAUCAUGGAACAAAGUGACAACCUUCCUUUUCUUCAUGCCUAAUAUAAACUUAGCAGUCAACUAAAAGUAACUAGCGAUAUCACAGAAUGUUUUUUUGUCAAAAGUAGAUACCACUUCAGGAUUCAACUCGGUUAGUUCAAUCAUAGACAUGUUAAGAGCAGGAUUUACAACUAACUGCAUAGGGAACAUCUCCUUUUAUCGCCCACUAUCUGUCUAUGCACUUUGGUUUUCCCGUAGCAGCACACAAAGCACUUUGUUAGUACCAAUAAUGUGCUCCAACUCUACACAUUAAUCAUCUUGAAUUCUUCUACUGAUGUCGAACAAUGUUAUAUCUUGAAUUCUUCUAACGAGUUCAGAUUAUACUACAUGGGCAAUUUAUCUGGUCCCUGAGAUGCAAGGUCGAUGAACAAUCGCUUCGUCUGAUGAUGAGGGAUUGUUUUUGCCUAAGAAACCAAUACAUGUAACUUCGACGCCAGAUUAAUAAUUGGUAAAACCCAAAUAAAUUAGAUCACGAGCUAAACCAUUUAAUUUUGUAUGCAUUUAAACUUUUGAUACAUAUGAGCUUGUUAAGAUGUUCGCAUAAACACCAUGGUGAUUUGAAGCAAGACAAAGUAAACUUGAACCGCUUGAGCCACUGACUUAAUAAGAACCUCCUUUCCCGUGGCAGAGAUCGUUUUUAAUACAUCCACUCACUUUGGUUCUCUUAUGAAAUCUAGAUUCCUUCGCUAAGGCUAUUGCUCCAGUAUUGUCACAAAAGAUUUUUGUUGGACCCGAUGCACUAGGUAUGACACCUAGAUCGGAUAUGAACUCCUUCAUCCCGACUCCUUCAUUUGCUACUUCCGAAGCAGCUAUGUACUCCUCUUCACAUGUAGAUCCCUCCACGACGCUUUGCUUGAAACUGCACCAACUGACAGCUCCACCAUUCAAUAUAAAUACGUAUCCGGUUUGUGACUUAGAGUCAUCCAGAUCAGUGUCAAAGCUUGCAUCAACGUAACCAUUUACAACGAGCUCUUUGUCACCUCCAUAAAUGAGAAACAUAUCCUUAGUCCUUUUCAGGUAUUUCAAGAUGUUCUUGACCGCUAUCCUAUGAUCCACUCCUGGAUUACUUUGGUACCUCCCUGCUAAACUGAUAGCAAGGCACACAUCUGGUCUGGUACAUAGCAUUGCAUACAUGAUAGAACCUAUUGCUGAAGCAUAGGGAAUGACUUUCAUUUUCUCUCUAUCUUCUGCAUUGGUCGGGCAUUGAGUCUAACUCAACUUCACACCUUGUAACACAGGCAAGAACCCUUUCUUUCCUUGAUCCAUUUUGAACUUCUUCAAAACUUUAUCAAGGUAUGUGCUUUGUGAAUGUCUAAUUAACCGUCUUGACCUAUCUUUAUAGAUCUUGAUGCCCAAUAUAUAAGCAGCUUCACCGAGGUCUUUCAUUGAAAAAUUCUUAUUCAAGUAUCCUUUUAUGCUAUCCAGAAAUUUCGUAUCAUUUUCGAUCAACAAUAUGUCAUCCACAUAUAAUAUCAGAAAUGCUACAAAGCUCCCACUCACUUUAUAAAGGCUUCUCCAAAAGUCUGUAUAAAACCAUAUGAUUUGAUCACACUAUCAAAAUGUAUAUUCCAACUCUGAGAGGCUUGCACCAAUCCAUAAAUGGAUCACUGGGCUUGCACACUUUGUUAACACCUUUUGGAUCGACAAAACCUUUUGGUUGCAUCAUAUACAACUCUUCUUUAAGAUAUCCAUUAAGAAAUGCAGUUUUGACAUCCAUUUGCCAAAUUUCAUAAUCAUAAAAUGCGGCAAUUGCUAACAUGAUUUGGACAGACUUAAGCAUCGCUACGGGUGAGAAGGUCUCAUCAUAAUCAACUCCUUGAACUUGUCGAAAACCUUUCGCAAAAAGUCGAGAUUUGUAGACAGUAACAUUACCAUCAUCGUCAGUCUUCUUCUUGAAGAUCCAUUUAUUCUCUAUGGCUUGCCGAUCAUCGGGAAAGUCAACCAAAGUCCACACUUUGUUCUCAUACAUGGAUCCCAUCUCAGAUUUCAUGGCCUCAAGCCAUUUCGAGGAAUCUGGGCUCAUCAUUGCUUCCUCAUAGUUUGUAGGUUCAUCAUGGUUGAGUAACAUGACCUCCAGAACAGGAUUACCAUACCACUCUUGUUGGGAAUAUGACUACCAGGUAUGACCCGCCCAGGAGGGGCCGGGUCAAUCCUAAUGGCGGGUUACUAAAAGAAGCUCAGUGAAUAUACAAGGCGAUAGUUUAUUAUAAGACUUGUAGUAGGACCAAGCCCAAAGGCGGGUUAAGGCCCAUAAUUGUAAACCGCCAUGUAUAAGAAAGAAUUGUAAAGAAAGGCAUGUAAGAGAAGUCACCGAGCCGGGCACGUUAUAUGAGCCGGCUGGGACUCUGUAGGCCGCCAGGCGUCAACCCGUGUAUAUAAGGGGACGACCCGGUGGCGGCUUAGGGCAAGUAACAUCAAAUCGAGAGCCAUGCAUAGCGUAUUUGCUCCCUGGUCAUCGAAACCUAGCAAUACCACAUCAACUGGACUAGGCUUUACCUUCACCGUAGGGGGCCGAACCAGUAUAAACCUUUCGUGUCCUUUGUCCCGAUUAACCCCUUUAAGCUUCCUAGUUGCGAUGGCUCCACGACUAAGUCCUUUCAGUAGGACAUCUGCCGUGACAAUUCCACGACAGUUGGCGCCCACCGUGGGGCCAUCGCACGAUGGAUUUGAGUUCUUGAAGGGCAGCUUCCAAGGGCUCAAGGGAUACGCUGUGGGCCGGAUAACCAAAAGUUGUCACAGCAAGCUCUACAUCGACGACGCAGGCUGGGGCCCCGAGGCUGGCUCAAUCGAGUACGGGUACCGGGUCCCCUUCGGCGGAAUCCACGUCUUCAUCGGCCGGAUCGGCGAGCCGGGCCCUGAGUCGGACAUCUGCACCGACCUCAUCGAGAUGGCUCAGCGAGUGAGACCUGCCCGGGCUCAACCUGCCGUGAGGCGUGCCUUCGUGGGUUGCAUCCAUGGAGGGGAAUUUUCUGAAGGAUCGAUGGACGGUGGUGAGACAGUCGUUUGCUCUAGCAGUGAGUCGUCCAUAGGCGAGACAGAUUCUUUGUAUCAGCUACAAGAUGGCGGGCUUGGGGGCUGUUCCGAUGGCAGUAGUAUUCCGGACCCCUCUGAGCCGCCGAAUCGAGCCGGAGUCUUCAUGGCUGGCACUCAACCUGGUUAGAAUUCUAUGGCUGCGGCAGCAAUAACCACUGGGUCAGCAGGGGCCGGGUCAGGAGACCCCGCGCGCCCACCGGCUCAGGUACUAAUGGACCUCAUGGAUAGGAUGACGGCCCUGUUGACUGCUGUGGUUGAGCCGGCAGAUAAGGCUCAGCAUGACGCAGAGGUAGCACAGCUACACAGAGAGGUAGCACAGGCCAAGGAAAAUUUAGUGGCGGAAGAUGUCAGGAUGGCCGCGGAACGGGCGGCUCUGGAUGCACGGGCUCGGCAGCUUCAAGCGAAGACUUUCUGGCUCUCGGUGGAUCUGAACGCAUCAAACGAGGUCACGAGGAGAAGGCACCAGAAGGCUCAAUCAUGUCUGCCUCUGACUUACGAUCCUAGGAACCUUUUUCACACACCCGGGACUGGUCCCAGUAACCCGCUGAAGGCAAACCGGAUCACAACACCCGGGACCGGGACGCCGGUUCAACCGCGGGCCAUGGAACCACCGCGUGUGAAUACUGCUCUGCCUCACUACACAGCGAUACCACCGGGUCACUUCUCUAACCCCUUGGAGAACCUUAUUGCUGCGUCGGCUCAUCUGGCGGCUCUCCCGAUGGAAGGUGACUCUUCGACGGCGAUCGAGACACGACGGGUCAGAGAACUUCUUCAGACGGCUCUGGCACAGCAGGAUGCAUAUUCUUAUAGUUGAGAUAGAAUCCAUUCAACCCCUCGCCCAAGCCGGAGCCCAAGCUAUAGCAGGCAUAUGGACUCGGCGGCCAUGUCAAGCAACACCCAGCGCCGUAACCAUCCACGUGGGCGUGACCCGGCCCCGGGCGGAGCUUGUAACUUGGUAGACCAGGAGAGGAUCCGUCAAGAGGCUGAACGGGUGGUUCAACAGGCGGCUGAGCAAGCGGCUCACCAAGCUUUUCCAAUUUAUACAGUGACCUCUGUUGAAGCAGGGGUGGCCACAAGGACAGGAGGAGUCCCUUGUCUUGUGCAGUCUCUGCGUAAUGAGCGUUUACCAAAGGACUUUAAGGGGCCUCGUAAGGUGCCCAAUUACACAGCCGACCUGCAGCCCGGAGCAUGGAUUGAAAGUUACGAGAUGGCCAUGGAGUUAUUAUAAGUCAGUGACGCAGCAAUGGCCAAAUACUUCACCAUGAUGUUGGAUGGAACAGCUCGUACUUGGUUAAAGGGGUUACCGCCCAACUCCAUCGGCUCAUGGGCGGAGUUGAAGGCACGGUUCAUUCAGAACUUUAAAGAUACCUGUAAACAGCCCAUGUCAAUCGUGGACUUGACUAACUGCAAGCAAGAGGAAGGCAAAUCCAUGACCCAUUGGGUGCGCCGGGUCAAGGAAAUAAUACAUUCAUCUGAUAAGAUGGAUGCCAGCUCCACGGUCUUAAUGUUGGAGAAAAAUUACCGUUUUGAACCUCUGAAACAGAAGCUGGGGCGGCUCAAGCAUGAUUGUAAUGACAUGGGCCAGUUGAUGGCGGCUCUGGUCAAAUAUGCUGACUCUGACAGUACCAAGGAUCCCAUGUCUGACGAAGAGAAGACGAGGAAGGGAAAGAAGAACGGCAACGGCAAGGGUCACCAGCAUAACCCGACAAAUCAAGGAGGUAAUAAACGCAAGGCUGACGAGUUUGUGGCUAACACCAAUGCACAUGGCAACAACCAAUGGCGCAAGGGGAGGCCACCUCCUCGGUCAGGCGGAUCAGGUCCCACCCUCGAGCAACUACUAAAUGAACCCUGUCCGGGACAUGGCACCCGGGAGAAGCCGGCUACCCAUCUGUGGAAGGAUUGUACGAUCAUGAAGGCUUUUAAGAAUUCUAACAUGUUUGAUGGUAACCACGGGCCUGCUGGCGGCUCAGGCGGUGGCGGUUUUCAUGGCCAAGGCCAUCCGGGUAGUCAAGGCGAUUAUAGUCAGCAAUCCGGCCAGGGCAGUCAGCAACAGCAGCAACAGCCCGUGUAUCAGAGUAACCCAAAACAGCUGAACAGUGGACAGUACCAUGUGUUUACCACCAGUUUGUGCAAGAGGGACCAGAAGCUUCAGAAGAGGGAUGUAAAUGCUAUUGAGCCGGCGGUUCCACGUUAUUUGAGAUGGUCUGAACAACCUAUUCUGUGGAGUAGGGAAGAUCACCCACCCCGGGUUGAUAAUCCGGGUCAUCUGGCUUUGGUGGUGGCGCCUCAGGUUGGUGGAUAUAAGUUCACUAAAGUGCUCAUGGACGGAGGCAGUAGCAUCAACGUCCUCUAUUAUGAGACGUUCUGUCGCAUGGGGUUGACUGAUAAGAGUCUUAAAACAUCCAACACUGUUUUUAUGGGGUAGUGCCUGGUAAGUCGGCGUACCCAGUUGGUAAAAUUGAGCUGGAAGUGGCCUUUGGAGAUGAGUAUGAUUCUAGGGCUGAGAAGCUAACUUUUGAAGUGGUUAAAAUCAAGAGCCCAUAUCACGCUCUGUUUGGACGGCCGGCUUAUGCUAAGUUCAUGGCCCGGCCGUGUUAUGUGUAUUUGCAGCUCAAAAUGUUGGGUUAUAAAGGCACUAUCAUAGUACAUGGAAGCCGGAAAAUAGCCCUGGAAUGUGAAGAAGGUGAUGCUGCAUAUGCCGAGUCUGUUUGUGCAACAGAGGAAUUGAAGUUUUAUAAGGAUAAUGUUGACCCGGCAAACAUGGCGUCUUUGAAGAAGCCAACUACGGAGCAUGAGCCGGCAUUGAAAUUCAAGUCCGCUGAUGACACCAAGAUGAUUGAUUUCGUGUCUGGCGACUCAUCCAGACACUUCAUUAUCAGUGCUAACUUGGAUCCAAAAUAGGAAAGCGUGCUCAUCGAGUUCAUCCAUGAGAACCGGGACAUCAUUGCAUGGAAGCCUUCUGACAUGCCGGGUGUUCCGAGAGAACUCGUUGAGCACACUCUCAAUAUUCAUCCAAAGUUUAAGAUGGUCGGGCAAUUUCUUCGGCGGUUUAACGAGGAAAGGUGCAAGGCCAUUGGAGAAGAGGUGGCCCGGCUCUUGGCGGCCGGGUUCAUUGUUGAAGUUUUUCACCCAGAGUGGUUGGCUAACUCGGUGCUUGUGCUUAAAAAGAACGGCACCUGGCGCAUGUGUGUGGAUUACACAAAUUUAAACAAGGCUCGUCCAGCUGAUCCUUUUGCUCUCCCUCGUAUUGAUCAAAUCAUUGAUGCUACGGAGGGUUGUGAGCGUUUGAGUUUUCUGGAUGCUUAUUCGGGUUAUCAUCAGAUCAAGAUGGCAGUUAAGGACCAGGAGAAAACAGCUUUCAUCACUCCGUUUGGAGCCUUCUGCUAUGUGUCUAUGCCUUUUGGGCUCAAGAGUGCCCACGCGACUUAUCAGCGGUGUGUACAAAAUUGCCUUCAUAAUCAGAUUGGGUGUAAUGUUCAUGCUUAUGUGGAUGAUAUAGUGGUGAAAUCCAGAGAGAAGGAAACCUUAGUAGCUGAUCUAAAGGAAACCUUUGGUAACCUCCGGGUCUACAAGAUGAUGCUUAACCCGGCCAAGUGUGUUUUUGGAGUCCCAGCUGGCAAGCUCUUGGGUUUUUUGGUGUCUAAUGGAGGCAUUGAGGCUAACUCGGAGAAAAUAAAGGCAACCACGUCUUUGGCUAAACCGGCAUGCAUCAAUGACGUUCAGCGGCUGGCGGGCCGUGUCGCAGCUUUAAGCCGGUUUAUAAGUCGGUUGGGCGAGAAGGCUAUGCCAUUGUAUCAAAUGAUGAAAAAGGUGGAUGACUUUGUAUGGAGUGACGCUGCUGAUUCCGCUUUUGAAGGUUUGAAAAGACAGCUUGCUGGGCCACCUAUUCUUGCUGCCCCCGUUGAGAAGGAGCCGCUAUUGUUAUAUGUGGCUGCUAACUCACAAGCCGUCGGCAUGGCCAUUAUUGUGGAGCGCAAGGAGGUUGGCAAGGAACAUCCAGUUCAAUGGCCGGUUUACUACGUCAGUGAGGUGCUCAUUGGAUCCAAGAAAAGAUACCCACAUUAGCAAAAACUUGUUUAUGGGGUGUUCAUGGCAAGCCGGAAGCUUAAGCAUUACUUCCAGGGUCAUCCUAUCACUGUGGUUAGCUCUGCUCCUUUAGGAGAUAUUAUUUAGAACAGAGAAGCCACAGGACGAGUCGCCAAGUGGGCCAUUGAGCUUGGGGUCUCAUAAUAUAAAGUAUGUGCCACGUACGGCUAUUAAGUCUCAAGCACUGGUGGACUUCAUUAAUGAUUGGACGGAGUUACAGACACCUGAAGAGAAGCCAGACAACACAUAUUGGACGAUUCAUUUCGAUGGGUCCAGGCAGUUGGAAGGCUCGGGGGCUGGAGUUGUGUUAACUUCUCCUCGAGGUGACAAGUUUUGUUAUGUGUUGCGAUUGAUGUUUCCUUGUACUAACAAUGCAGCAGAAUAUGGGGCCUUGCUCCAUGGUCUUCGAAUGGCUAAAGAGAUGAGUUUAAGACGGGUACGGUGCCUUGGCGACUCAGAUUUGGUGGCUCGGCAGGUGUCAGGCAAGUGGGAUUCCAAGGACCCUCUCAUGGCGGCUUAUCGCCGGGAAGUUGAUGAUGUUGUUGGACAUUUCAAAGGUUAUCAGGUGGAGCACAUUGACCGCAGAAAAAACAAAGCGGCUGAUGCUUUAAGCCGGUUGGGAUCACAGCGUAAGCUGGUGCCACCUAACACUUUUCUAGAUGUUCUUCAAAACCCUUCUGUCAAACUGCCUACAGAGGAAGAUUUGGUCAUUCCAGACCCGGAGGCACAGUUAGUAGCGGCUCUUCAUGUUAUUCCAGAUUGGACAUUACCGUAUUUGGCUUACAUGACCCGGGGUGAGUUGCCAGAGGAUGAGACCUUGGCUCGACAGAUAACCCGACGGUCUAAGUCAAUGACAAUUUCCAAUGGUGAGUUGUAUCAUCGCAGCGUCACUGGAGUGUUUCAACGUUGUGUCUCUCCCGAAGAAGGUCAAGAAAUUCUUCGUGAGAUCCAUGAAGGGGAUUGUGGUCAUCACGCUGGUUCAAAGUCUCUUGUGGCUAAAGCUUUUCGUCAUUGUUUUUACUGGCUAACGGCUCACGCUGAUGCAGAGGAUCUGGUCAGUAGGUGUGAUGGGUGUCAAAAAUUUGCACGACGAGCGCACGUGCCGGCUUAAGAAUUGCGGAUGAUUCCAAUCACUUGGCCGUUUGCAGUCUGGGGGCUUGACAUGGUUGGACCUUUUAAAAGAUCCAAGGAUAAAAAGACACAUCUUUUGGUGGUAGUUCACAAAUUUACAAAAUGGGUUGAGGCAGAGCCGGUUAGUAAGUGUGAUGCAGCCACGAUGGUUCAGUUCAUGAAAAAGGUGAUCUUUCGUUUUGGCUUUCCACAUAGCAUUAUAACUGACAAUGGUACUAAUCUGUCCAAAGGCAACAUGGAGGAGUUUUGUCAAUGUGAGCAUAUCCGGCUUGAUGUUUUGUCUGUAGCUCACCCCCAAUCCAAUGGUCAAGCUGAGAGAGCAAAUCAGGAAAUCCUAAAAGGUCUCAAGCCCGACUUAUGGUUCGUUUACAACGGACGCCGGGUUGUUGGGUGGAGGAAUUACCCUCGGUGCUGUGGAGUAUCAAUACCACUCCUAACAGAUCUACAGGUUAUACACCUUUCUUCAUGGUUUAUGGAGCAGAAGCAGUUCUGCCUAGUGACAUCCGUCAUGACUCACCUCGCGUGGCGGCCUAUGUUGAAGCUGAUAAUGAACAAGCCCGACAGGAUGCACUUGACUUGUUAGAUGAGGAGAGAGAUUUGGCAGUGGCUCAAUCAGCAAUUUAUCAACAAGACUUGCGCCGUUAUCACAGCCGCCGGGUUAAGUCCAGAACCUUUCAAGAAGGUGACCUAGUGCUCCGGCUCAUCCAGGAUCUGUCUGAUGCACACAAGCUAUCCCCGCCUUGGGAAGGACCCUUUGUGGUCAACAAGAACUUAAACAAUGGGUCAUAUUACCUCAUUGAUGUUCGAGAGCACAAAGACCCACGUAAGUCGGAGGAGGAGACCCGCCGGCCGUGGAACAUCGCUCAGCUUCGGCCAUACUACACUUAAACCAUCGGCUCUCAUCAUGUACAUACUUUGACGUUGUAUAUAAUAUGAUAAGUAAUAAAGCAGGACCUCUGUCCUUUUUCCCCUUCAAUGAUCAUAUAUCUUUAUUAUUUUCAUUAUUUAAAAUGACCAUUAGGGGGCUGAUCGUAUCCGAAUCUAGCUUAACCCUUUUGGUCCGGCUCAUGAUCGUAUUCGAAUCUAGCCGUAAAACUCAUGGUCACUUGGGGGCUUCCUGUUCAAACAUAGGUCGUAUUCGAACCAAAGAGAACAUAGCUGUCGUAACCCUCUUGAUCGGCUCAAAGCCAAACUCACUAGGGGGCUUCUUGAUCGUAUCUGAAUCAUAGCUUAACCCCUUUUUGGGUCCAACUUGGAUCGUAUUCGAAUCAGGGUCGUUAAAAACCUCUCAAGGUCAUUUGGGGGCUUCCUAUUCAAACAUAGGUCGUAUUCGAACCAAAGAGAACAUAGCUGUCGGUACCCUCUUGAUCGGCGCAACGCCAAAGCCACUGGGGGCUAUAUGAUCGUAUCCGAAUCUUAGCUUAACCCCUUUGGUCCGGUUUACUGAUCGUAUUCGAAUUAGAAGCCUCCAGUUUUUAUUUAAAUGUUUGAUUUACAUUGUCUGAAGCCUAGUGUUUUAUCUUACUAUUUUUAUCGUCUCAAAUCUAACUGUUAGUAUGGUUUCAAAUUAAACCGGCUUGGCUAUUUGACAAUGUGUCGCCAAGGCAUAACAGUCAUCAGACAUAUGGAAGUAUUGACUUCUAAAAAAGAUUGGGUUAUCAACCUCAUCAUCCGGGUCAUGUAAACCGACAGUCCAUGUUCAAAAACCACAGGUAUGACAGUGUCAUUCAUGAACAGACUUCCCUGGGUUUUUCGUCAGUCAAAGGAUUUUUCAGCCUUGUUUAUCUUACAUCUGGUUCUAUUUUUUCCACUAUGAUAAUUUCAUAAUCAUGUACCGGGUGUUUUGACCCGUCCGGUGCUAAGCCACCGGGACAGUUUUUUUCAUCUUUUACAGGAACAGAGUUAAAACAUUACAGAUGUAACCACGAUGUAAUGCAUAUAUAUAUUGACAUCAUGGGCAAAGAGUCAUAUGAAACAUCUUAUGCACGAUGGCAUAGGCAAAAUAUGCAAUUUUCAAACUAACCUAUUACAAGGCAUUGAGAGCCCAAAAGGUUAAACGGUUUUCUCUCUUAAGCAGGUCUUAAGCUAAAAACUGGAUUGUUCAGAUGGUUAUGACUCCUCCCUGGCCGUUUCACCUCCCUCCACUGGUUGGAAGCUGGGAUUGGACCAGUCAAAGCCGUUCAGAGCAAUGAACUCAGCCUCAUCGUCAAUUAGGCCGGCCGGGUCAAUUUGCAGGGCAAAAGUGUGUUGACGAACCGGCGGGAUAAGAUCCAUCACUUUAUAAGAGGGAGUCGCCAUCUUUUUAUUCUCCAUAUCAAAACCCGACUGAUAUUUUUCGAUGUUGGUCUCCUCACCAAGAAUGGUAGCCUGAGGACGAACUCCCCUCACACAAGCAAUAAAGUCAUCUUGCUCAAACGGAGUCCCGUCUUCCUUCAUGGUAGGGUACCCCUUAGCCACGUCCACCGGGUGUAAAUCGGGCACCCAGGCUUUGGAGCGGCUCAGGGCAGUCAGGGCUCCGACUCUGGCACAAGAUCGUUUGACCUCUUGAAAUCUGGCGGGUAAGAUCGAUAACUUCUUCAAAACAUCACUUAAACGGUUGGGUCCUUGGUUGGCAGGGGAUAUAUAUAGUAGAAAGUGCUCGUUGAGCACCAGUGUACAGUUGCUCCACCAAGGUAUAAACCGCCUUCAGUUUUGUCACACUAUCUUGACUCAGAUAUUUUACUUCGUGGACCUGUGAGUACUUUUUAACAAAGGCUCAGCAGGCGGCUUAUAUUUCUGGUUAAAAUAAAGUAUAAGUGACUAAUGCAAAUGACUUACCAAAGAUGGCGGAGACCAUUUGAUACACACGGUUUUUUAAGCCGGUGAGCUCCAUGGUAACCUCCUCAAGAGUCGCCUCUGCUGUCUUGGCACGUUGUGUCAGCAAGGUCUUCUCAUCGGCCCAGGAUUUCUUCUUCUCAGUCACACUGGUCUUCAAUUUUUCAGUUUUAGAGAGACUCAAUUGGAGUUUGGAGUUAGCAGUCUUUAUCUCCGCUUCUUGAUCCGCCAGCCGGGUCUUUGCAUCCGUCAAUUGAGAUCCCAAUUCAGUUAGGGCGGUCUACAAACAUGCAUAGGUGUGUCAAAAUUUAAACACAAGUUAUAUUGAUUAAAGUCGCGAGUGCUUUGCAACGCAACACCACUUGGCACUUGGGGGCUAAUGUCUGCCAAAGCAAUUUUAUGCAAAAUGACUCUUCUAUGUUUCAAGUCCCAAGUGUUUUACAAAGUAACAACGCUUGGCACUUGGGGGCUAAUGCAUGAUAUUCAGAAAGUUUUUCAAGAUGAGCCGGAUCACACUACUUAUUUGGACUAAUCUAAGACAGUUAUGAAGUUAAGUACCGGGUCAUUUAUGAUAAAUUGAGCCGGCCCUUGGGGACUACAUGUGAAGUUUAUACUAAUCCGUUGAACUUAGGAAAAAUCUAAAGACAAGGUAUCAACCUAUAUCAUAAGUCUACAGAUCAUUCAGGUUCAUCAUAAUCUGAAGACUUGGGGGCUGGCAGAGUAUAUAUAAACCGGAGAACGUACCUCAUAUUCUGUAACAUCCCAAAUUUUCAAUUUGGAAUGUUACACGUUAGGUCAUCAUGCAUAUCAUAUUUUAUUUUUCUUUUGGUUUUGAUCCUAGAAAAUCCUAAGCAACUCAAGGACCCACGGAGAGAGUUGGGGAUUUCAUUAUUUACAUAUUUGAGUUUUCUCAAAUUAUGUAAACAGGAUCAUUUGAUUUUAUUUAUUCUAUCAUCAAUUAUUUCUAUUACAAAAAUAUGAGAGAGGGAAUAAAAUGACUUUUCCAAAAUAUAGAAAUAUUGAGGAUUUAAUAAAAAAUCAAAUAAGUUUUAUUUCGGAGUUUUUUGGUAUUUUUAUUUGAAUUUAGGAAAAAUGCGCGUUUUUCAAAUUGUAGUUUGGGCCCAGAUAAAUGUUCACUUUAUCGGGCUUGAUUUUAGGAACCCGGCAAAAUUUAUUUCGUGAUUUUUGGAGUCCGUUUAGUAUUUCUUUUUAUUUUUCUUCCGAGCGGAUUUAAAAAAAAACUAGAACCGACUCCGUGCCGUAACCGGCCAGGAAACCUCCGCCCGGGGCCUUUAUAUAGCGCCCGAACCGGCCGAGAGAGAGAGAGAGGCCCGAAGCCAGCUAACCCUAACCCUAGCUAAGCCGCCGCCGCCUCCCAGCCGUCGCCGCCCGCCGCUGCCGACUCGCCGGAGCGCGCGCCUUUCGAGGUUCGCCGCCGCCUCGUUUUCCGUGAAGUUUUUUUUUAAAAAAAAAAUCUGUUCGUCGUUUUUCUUUUUCGUCGGAUUUUCCGCGGUUAUUUUCUGAUCGCGAUUUCUGAUCCGGUUUUCGUUUUAGUAUAACUUUUCGCUCGUUUAUCGGAAUCAGGCGAUUCAAGCGCCUGGAGUUUCGUCUCGAAACCCUCUUUCCGAAUAAUCAACUUAAACAAGUUUUUGCUACUGUAAAAUUUGCCCUAGAUCCAGAUUACUAGAAGGAAGUUGUUUUUUUUGCCGUUUGAUUUCUUUCGCUUCGUUCGAUUUGAUUCUUUUGCCAACCAGGGUUCUUAAGUUGAACUUUCUGGUUAGAUCUUCUAUUUGAGUUUUACUUGUGCAUUAGAUGAGUACUUAUUGUAUGCUUGAUGUUUGUCUGUGAUAGAAUACCCGGAGUGCGCCGCCUGUUACUUCGAAUCUCUAGGUUUCGCGGAUCAUCAGCAAGGCAAGUAACACUUUGAUCAUACCUUUUCUACAACCCAGUUUUAUUGCAUUAGAUCAAUCCUCACACAUUGCAUGAUUAGGAUCUAAUUAAAUUGUGGGAUGGGAAGUAGAUGAGGUAGUACCUAUUACCUGUUUAUUAUCAAACCUUUGGGAGUUACUUCUACGUUUGCUUAUGCCAUGUUAUGCCGGUAGACGUGGAUUGGGUGAGUGAUAUCCAUGACAGAUGUGAGAUUUAUAAUUAAGGGUUAUCUAAGGUGGCAACCUAACACACAUCUGGGUGGAUUGAGGCACCUGGGGUUACCAGGACUUGCCUGUUUUCUUUUGGACCGCCACCCAGGCCCAAAGGGAUCAUGAGAUUUUUCAUACUAGAAACUUCCGUGUGCAGCCACAAGCCAUUAUGGGCUCUGGCAUAGUUGACUAAGUUGUGCGAACUCUUACAGUGGUAGACUAGCAGAUGUAGGGGAAAGUAGGUGUACCGGUCUACCCGUCGUAAGGUGCUAGCGCUUCUGAAAGACUGUGUCUCGGUCAUCCGUUUCUCAAACACCUUGUAGUGCGAGAAACCAAACGGAGGUGAUCGAGUCUUGUGGGGAAAAGUGCGCAAACCUCUGCAGAGUGUAACAAACUAAUCAUGGUUAGCCGUGUCCCUGAUUAUGGACAUCUUGAGUAUCUAUUACCUGGAUUAUCAUGUGAAUCUCAACAUGUUACUCUAAAAUUAAUUUUGUGGGAUUUUAAUGAUGUUACUUAAUUGGGAUUGAGGAUGCUGUCAACCAUUCUCAAUGUUUAACAACCACCAUGAUAGUAAUUAAUUUUAUUCCUUUGAAGUAGGGAAAAAUUGGCUUUACGCAAAAACUGUAACCAUAGAGCUUUCCACCAGCCAAAUAUGCAUAUAGUAUAGUUGUUGCAUUCCAUUACUCUCUAUGUGUUACCUUGCCAGCAUAUUCCAUGUGCUGACCCGUUUCGGGCUGCAACGUUAAUGUUGCAGACUUUUCAGAUGACGAUUGAGGAAUUUUAGGUCGUGGUUCUAUACUCAGUGAUGCCGUUGGAGUUGAUGGACUCACUUAUCUUCCAAGCCUUCCGCUGUUAUCGUUAUUAGAUGGCCUUAAGCCAUAUUUAUUGUAAUAAGUUCUCUUUUGAGACACUCGAUGUAAUAAGUGUGUGAUUGCUACUCUGCUAUAAAUCCUCCGAGUACUGUGUGGUGUCAGCAUUACUGAUCCAAGGAUGACAUCGGAGCACAGAGAUCAGACUGUUUAAGGUCUGGUCGCUACAUAUUCCAGUUGCAAUUGCUUGACCAUCUCAAUUUCCGAGUCACGGCUGGAAUGCACAGGACUGAGAUAGCCGGACAGCAUGUCACUAACAUUCAGAUGAGCAUAGUGAGAGAUAUCAAAUUGUACUUUCUGUCUUUCCAAGGCCUCCUGUUUAGCAGAAUGCCUGGCCAGCACAGUCGGAUUACCCGGCGCAACAAAUCUGCUGCCAGUGAUCAAAACGUCAUGGUCAGAAGAUGCUGGCAGGUUAGCUGAACCGGACGGUCUGACGGUGGAUGGAUCGACAAUGGUUUCGUCAGCUGACGGCUCAGGAGGGUCCAAUUGAGCAUGGACAGCUAAAUCUUCUGGCGCUUCAGAUUGAGUGGGAGGAGUUGAUGUUGCCAGUUCAGGUGCAGGAUUUUUUGGGUCCUCUGCCGGUUUAAUCACCUUGGCUUUCUUGGACUUUGCUUGACCGCUAAGAAAGAUUUUUAUGAAAUAGUUAGUAUAAUGAUGCAGUUUUAAAAAUGUAGAGGAAAGAUGAUUUUCCUUACCCAUGGGCAGUCUUGAAAGCCGGAAAUUGAGUUUGGGAUGAGUCGCCAGAAGAGCGAGAGACCUCCUGCAAAGGUAAAAUAAAGUUAAGAAUAUAAGGAAAUAAAUUCAUGGAUAAAAACAAAGGACAAAGGUGAAAGAAACCUCAUUCUGGCGUUUUUGAGGAGUUUUUUCUAAGUCGAAAGGUGGUUCAUCAUCAUCAUUAGUCCGGGCCAGAUGGCGGCUCUCAUGUUGCUGCUUUUUCAAAAGAAAAUGAGGGUCCAAAUAAGCCAAAGGGUGCAAAAACCUUACUUUCCGGGUUACCAGUCGAAGUUUCUGUCUCGGCAAAGGGGCUGAGUCGUAGGAAAUAGUUACCUCUUCUUCCGCGGCCUGGCUGGCCCCCGUGUCAUCCUGGCAAUAGUCAGUGUCAAUAAGAUAGUUGAAAAUUUGGCCAAGGGAGAAAGGGCUACCUCCGACUCAGAAACAUCAUCAAGCUGGAAGAUGUCAGAUGCAGUCUUCUUCUUGGGCUUCCGGGUCGUUCUCUUGGCGGCUACGGCAGCGGAUCUAGCCUUCUUGGUAGCUUCAUGAUCAUACUUGGCCUUCCAGAAGUCAGAUUUGUCCUGUAAACAAAUAAAGAGGUUAAAAGGUCAUGCAAGUAUUUAAACUACUGAGGUAAACACAAAAAGAGAAAAAGGUCAAGAAGUUACCUCUGGUGUCGGGUUAAGUUUGCAGAAGGGGUUUAAUCCAACCUUGCUGUAGUCCUCGUAUUUGCCAUUCACGAGGAUGGUAGACAUUGCAACAAUGUCUUCUUCAGUUAAUUGUACAGAGCUAUAACGCAGAGAAUCAUUUGGGCCUCCGCCAUACUUAUACAUCAACUUGGAUCGGCGGCUUAGAGGGAUGACCCGCCAUGAGAUCCAGCAAUGGAUCAGGUCAACUCCGGUUAAGCCAUUUCCCAAUAAAGCUUGAAUCCUUUUGACAGAUGGGAUAAGCUUCUUGCGUUCAGCAGUAGUAAGCUUGUCAGGGAGCACAAACUUGGAAUCAAGACGCUCUUCACGAUAACCCGGCAGUGGUUUUUCAUCAGCCGGUGAUGUAUCUUGGCAGUAGAACCAGGUUUGCUUCCAGUCUUUGGGAUGGCUCGGUAAGACCACUAAAGGAAAAACGGCACCUUGUCAGCGUUGAAUUGAAAUUCUGCCAAGUUCCAAGCUAAGGCCGUUGGUGCACUCAUUCUGGCGGUUCAAGUAAAAGUACUCUCUAAAGAGCUCCACAGUUGGUUCUUCUUGAAGAUAUACCUCACAAAGAACUUGAAAAUUGCAGAUGUUGGAUAUAGGGUUGGGUCCAAUAUCUUGUGGAUGAAGCUUGAAAAAAUGCAGGACAUCUUGGACGAACUUUGAGCCGGGUGGUGAGAAGCCCCGGUUCAUGUGAUCUGUGAAAACGAUAACUUCGCCGUCUUUGGACUAAGGUCGUUCUUCGUCCGGGUCAGGAGCACGAUAAGACAUAACGCUUUUCUCUGGCAAAAAUCCAAUGGUGACAAAUUAUUUCAAGGUAUCUUCAGUAACUGUGGAAGGCACCCGGUUGCAGACAGUUGGCGCUUUUGACGGCAUGAUGAAGAAAGGGCAAGCUGAAAAGAAAGUAAUUUGCCGGUUCAAUUUAUUGGUGGAGUUACAGGUUCAUGAUUAUAGUACAGAUGAGUAAUGGCGGCUUAAGUAAGGGCUAAUGACAUGUAAAGGAAAAAUAAGCCGGAGUCAUAAGCCGCCAUGACUAAAAAGUAUUUGAAGGUUGCCAGAAUCAAAAUUGACUAAAGUGUUGAGACAAACAGGUUUCCCAAGUUGUGGCUAUUAUUAUGGAUCAAAAUGGUUCAGAAAAUAAAAAUAAAGUUAGACCUAGAAAACGAGCACAGAGGAGUUUGUCAGCUCUAAAGAGGCAUUUAUACAGGAGAAGGGGAUCUGUUAGCUUCAAAAAUGGAUGAGAAAUAGCUACCUCAUAAGUUUUGUACUACUUUUAGAUCAAAAGAGGGUGCGGUAAGAGAAGUUGCAACGAAUCUAUGACGAACAACGAAGAACACAAGAAGGAAACCUCCCGAACCCUAAUGCAGAUCUAUGGGGGUGAGAAGGUGAGAGCUUACAGGUGCGGAGCUGCUGCGGAGGAUCGCCACCGUUCUCUGGAUAGACUCAGGGUGAUGCUGCGGCCAGAGUUGAGGACGACGGUGCGCUACGGUGGCGACGGAGCUCGAGCGGCAAAGAAGGUGCGAGAGGAAGAAGAAAGAGGAAGGACUGGCCGAGCCUAUUUAUAAGGGGGUAAGUGAACGGGCAGACGCAAAAAUUGAGGAAGACCAAAGUAAUGAUUAUCCAGCUAAAUGGACGCCUCGAUCUUCGGAAAACAUUUAAGAUAAGGAUCCGUUGAAGAUGAAAUCGUGGUGUUUUUCCAAAUUUUUUCAAUCCUAAUGGUUGGUUAAUAAAAUAAGCUCAGUGAAUAUACAAGGCGAUAGUUUAUUAUAAGACUUGUAGUAGGCCCAAGCCCAAAGGCGGUUUAAGGCCCAUAAUUGUAAACCGCCAUGUAUAAGAAAGACUUGUAAAGAAAGGCAUGUAAGAGAAGUCACCGAGCCGAACACGUUAUAUGAGCCGGCCGGGACUCUGUAGGCUGCCAGGCGUCAACCCAUGUAUAUAAGGGGAUGACCCGGUGGCUGCUUAGGACAAGUAACAUCAAAUCAAGAGCCAUGCAUAGCGUAUUUGCUCCCUGAUCAUCGAAACCUAGCAAUAUCACAUCAACUGGACUAGGCUUUACCUUCACCGUAAGGGGCCGAACCAGUAUAAACCUUUCGUGUCCUUUGUCCCGAUUAACCCCUUUAAGCUUCCUAGUUGCGAUGGCUCCACGGCUAAGUCCUUUCACUAGGACAUCAUCCGUGACAAUUCCACGACAACUCUGGUGCGGAUCUUACUAUGGUUGACCUACGAGGUUCAGCGGUAACUUGAUCUGAAGUUUCAUGAUCAUCAUCAUUAGCUUCCUCACUAAUUGGUGUAGGAAUCACUGGAACUAAUUUCUGUGAUGAACUACUUACCAAUUCGGGAGCAGGUACAAUUGCCUCAUCAAGUUCUACUUUCCUCCCACUCACUUCUUUCGAGAGAAAGUCCUUCUCUAGAAAGGAUCCUUUCUUAGCAACGAAUAUAUUGCCUUCGGAUCUGUGAUAGAAGGUGUACCCAACAGUCUCCUUUGGGUAUCCUAUGAAGACACAUUUCUAUGAUUUGGGUUCGAGCUUAUCAGGUUGAAGCUUUUUCACAUAAGCAUCACAGCCCCAAACUUUAAGAAACGACAACUUAGGUUUCUUGCCAAACCACAGUUCAUAUGGUAUCAUCUCAACGGAUUUAGAUGGUGCCCUAUUUAAAGUGAAUGCAGUCUGAAAGUGCGUUAUAUCGACUAGAGGGGGGGUGAAUAGGCGAUUUUUAUGAAAGUCUUCAAAACAUGGAAGUUUCGAAGACAAACGAUAGAAAUAAACCUAUUACCAUGCAGUGGAAGUUAGACUACACUAGAUAAACCGUAGUCAUGUAUUCAAUGAAGUGAAAGGACAAUGACUAAUAGUAGCUAGGUAGUAAGGAUCAGGCAGGAAGAUAUUAAGAAGCCAAACGGAUCACACAGUCACUCAGUGAAGACAAAAGAUAGAGAAAACAUACAAUGACUUCACACAGAGUAACAGUAAGUAAAGAGAAGGGAAGGAUGAAACCAGUGACUCGUUGAAGACAAAGAUUUGUUGGACCAGUUCCAGUUGCUGUGACAACUGUACGUCUGGUUAGGGCGGCUAGGUAUUUAAACCAAAGGACACACAGUCCCGGACACCCAGUCCUGAACACGCAGCUCAGGACAUCCAGUCCUCACCGUAUUCCCCUUGAGCUAAGGUCACACAGACCUCGCCCAAUCACUCUGGUAAGUCUUCAAGGUAGACUCCCAAACCUUCACAGACUUCGUUCACCGGCAAUCCACAAUGUCUCUUGGAUGCUCAGAACGCGAUGCCUAACCAGCUGGAGGAUGCACAGUCCUCAAGUGUAAUAAGUCUUCAGAUCACUCAGACAAGAAGACUUAAGUGAUGCCUAAUUCUCUUUCGCUCUGGGUGGUUAGGGCUUUAUCCUCGCAAGGAAUUCUCUCUCAAAGGCUUCGAGGUGGGUUGCUCUCAAACGACAAAAGCCGUACUUUGAAUCUGAGUAGCCAACCGUUUAUGGUUGUAGGGGGUGGGCUAUUUAUAGCCACUAGGCAACCCGACCUGAUUUGUCCGAAAUGACCCUGGGUCACUAAGGAACUAACAUGUGUUCCAACGGUCAAAUUUCAAACUCACACGGAAACUUUACUUGGGCUACAAGCAAAGCUGACUUGUCCGACUCUGGACAAGAUUUUCUCUCAUAGUCUUCACUCGAAGACAUAGGUUUUUGUUUAAGCAUCACUUUAGUCAUUCUGACUGGCUCUCUUGGACCCCACUUAACAGUAUGUUGGUUCCUAUGACUCAACACAGAAGAAAAAGAACUACGAAAAAUCUAAGUGUUCAAGCUCCAUAGGCUUCAUGCGGUGUCUUCUCUUGUCAUAGUCUUCAAUGUGAAUAUCUUCAUAUACCACCUUUGACAUCAAUGUCUUCAUACACUUUUAGGGGUCAUCUCUGGUGGGAAAACCGAAUCAAUGAGGUACUUCUACCUGUGUUAUCCUGCAAUUCUCACAAACACAUUAGUCCCUCAACUAGGUUUGUCGUCAAUACUCCAAAACCAACUAGGGGUGGCACUAGAUGCACUUACAAUCUCCCCCCUUUUGGUGAUUGAUGACAAACUAGUUGAAGUUUUCAACGGGGAAUAUAAUGUGUGAAAUUGUAAAGGAUAAGGAAUUGUCUUCAUAAGUUACAAGGGCUCCCCCUGAAGAUGUGCAUAUAAGUAAUUUGCUUUUGGAAUGCAAAUGCACAUGGCAGGUUGUGCUUGUGGAGAUCCACUUCAACUUAUGAUGACAAUCCACUAUGCAUGUGAAAGUAUGUGAAGAUAAUGACAUGCAUAAUGGAAAAUGGAUGUCUGCAGAAUGAUCUAAGUGCGGAAUCUAUCAUCGCACAUGCGGAAUUUAUCAUCACAACACAAGGUAGCAAAUAGGUAGCAGACGACCAUCAAGUUUAAGUGUUACAACUCAAAGAACCAAAUGUUUCAAAACGAGAGUUGUAAGCACGAAGCAAAAUAUAAAACACCCGCCCAUAUGGACCCAUUUGAAGACUAUCAAACUCAUAUGCUUCUCCCCCUUUUGACAGUAAGGACCAAAAAGGUUUGAAGACAUAGAGCCUCUACUCGUUCCCAUGAGGAGUAGGUGAAGCAGCAGGAUCGUUGAUGGUGUUUGGCAGUGCAGACGAGCUUGGAGCAGUGUCGACGUGUGCUGAAGGAGGCGGCGAAGAAGUAGCAUCGUCUUCAUCCUCGAUCACUCUGGCAUUCACGGUUGCAGUAGAGGAAGAGAACUCAGGGUCUUCAAGUGAUGGAGUUCGUCGCAGCACAGCCCUGCGAGGAGGUGUGGAGUCAAACUUGAAGCGCUCAGUGAAGCCAUCCUCUUGCAGAUCAUCUUCAGAACACAGCAGCGUCAGCCCUUUCCAUGUGCGUCGAGAUGUUUCAUGAGCAACAAAGGCGUUCUUGGUGGCAAGAUUGUGAAUGCGAUUAACAUCCACCAAGAGGCUUUGCAUUUGACGCUUUAGCCAGUCAUGAUGCCUAUCCUGUUUCUGAUGAAGGGCCACCAGAAGCUCUCGGUCAUUGAGGACACGAGUGCGCUUCUUGGGUCGUUGAGCAAUGGUGCUAUCAGUGGCUUCAGUAAGAGCAGGAUGCGGGGCACGGGUAGUGCCAGCCAAAGGAUACACACGUGUUACUGCUUCAAUGCCUUCAACGUUCCGAGAGAAACUUUGAUGCUCUGCAUUCUGAAGACUUAGAGGUUCCUUGGCAGGCUCAGGAUAUAUGGCUUCAAUAGACAUAUCCACAUCAGGCAAAAAGAUCCGAUGAUUGCGGGCAGAUGGCUGAUAUGAGAUAGCAGAGUGAAGUUUGAUCAGCCGCAUCACCCAAGGGGCGUAGAACUUCAACCCAAAUAGAUCAGAGCCAGAUGCAGCAAGUUGGCGAAUGAAGAAAUCCUAUGUAUUGAAGCAUUUUCCAUGAAGAAUAUAGAAGACCAAAGUCUUCAUUGCACCUUCCAGCUGGGCAUGGGGAGAAUGUCCUUUGAUUGGCCAGAGAGUUCGCCUUAUGAUAUGAUAAAUGGUCCUUGGCAGAUACUCAAGGUCUUCAACAAAGAACUCCGUGGGAUAAGCAGCAUCUUGGGGCAAUGGCUUCAUCAUACUGAGCAUCUGACUCAUAUUGGGUUCAGUCUUCUGAAAGAUGCUCUCAACAGCUUCAAUGUGAAGCUGACAGCCAUGCUCAUAGAGAUCGCCAGGAGUGGGCAAGCCAGUGAGCUCAAUGAUGUCAAAGACUUUGGCUUCGUGAUGAACAUUUCCAGUCAUCCACUCUAGGACCCAAGUCUUUGGAUCUCUGUUAUACCCGCGGAUGUGAAGUGUGGCAUAGAACUGGAGCAGCAACUCUUCAUUCCAAUGCUCUUGGUCAGUGACGAAUGGUAGCAGCCCAACUUCAUUGAAGCAAUCCAAAGCUUCUUCCAGACAGGCAGACCAGCUAUAGCUUCAAUGUCAAGGCGCUUGUGUGGGAAGAUGCGACCUUUGUUGUAAAGAAUGCAUGAGUAAUAGCUUCGCUGCUGAUAGCUCCAGAACCGAUCAGAUGAUAUUCUUUCCCUGGAGUAGGGGUUCCUGGAGCUAUUGAAGAAUGUGUUGUCUGCUCUGAAGCCAUUGAUGUUAAAGGAGCCAGGUGCUAAUGCAGGACCUGGGAACCUGGGCAAUCUUGGGAUUGGCUUCUGGACCUGAGGCCUGUGCUCAACAUGAUAGUCGAAUUGGGGACCGGCAGCAGACGCAGGAACAGGAGCAGCAGGAUUAGUGGCUUCGCUGACUUCUGGUGCUGUUGGGGGUGAGGGCUCCACAUUAGCUUCAGCCAUGACGGUGUCAGUGGCUUCAGUGGUGUUGGUGGUGGCAGCCUCUAGAUUUUCAACCUCCACUUGACGAGCUGGAGGGUCGGUCAUGAUCACGUUCUCCUCGAGAACCGCUUCUUGGUGGGGCAGGGGAGUAGCAGCUUGUGGAACUUCUUCUUCCGUGGCUGAUGCAGCUAGAUUGUCUUCAGCAGAGACUUGAGGCCUUGGACCUUUGUGAAGCCUGCGCAACGCGGGCGAUGCCUGUGGAGCUGGAGUGGGCUGGGCCUCAUAGUCUUCUUCCUCUUGUUGGCGAUCCGCCCAUGAAGCAUCCUGUGCCAUUGGCGUCAGUGGACGACCAAUGCUGAUGAGUUCGUUGUUUUCAAGCUGAGGAAGAACUGCACCAUCUUCUACAUGGUCAUGUUGACCAAUGUCUUCAGCAGUGAUGGGAUCAGCUGUUGGAAAGUCUUUAGCUUUAUGAGCCUCUGUGGAAGCAGGCUCAUGGAUUGUCAGUUGGCGUUCAGCUUCAGGAUAGACCAUUGAAAUAGGUUCAACUAUCAAAGGCUCUGUGGGAGCAGCCUGUUCCUUCUUGGUCUUUCGUUUCUUCUUGGAGGGGGCAGUAGGAGAGGCUUCAGGAUGUUUCCUCUUCCUGGCUUCAGCCUCAGCAGUCCUUGUCUUCUUGAGCUCUGAAGCGGUUGACCGGCUUUUUGGCUUCAAGCCAGUCAGUCUAGUUGGGAAGACAAUCGGAACUGCUUCCUGCCUUGGUGCGUCGGAUUCAGCCGUAGCAGUCUUCUUCUUCUUCUUUGCGGCCAUCCUAGGGUCAAUGCCAGGACGCCCAAGGGCCUUGCGCUUCUCAGCCUCAUUGUAGGCUUGCACACAUCUGUCAGCCAGAGCCUUCAUGCGCUCACGUGAAUCCCGAGCUUCUGCACAUUUCUUCAGAAAGGCUUCCUUGAGCUCGUGCAUCAUGAUCUUGAAGUUCUUCACUUCUUGCACACUGAGCUUGGCCAUAUGCUUCUUGAACUGAGCCUUUUCAUAGUCAAUCUUCUGCUUUAGUUCAACAACGUGUCGGGCGAUGGCUAGCUCUGAAGCAAUGGCGCCUUGGAAGGCGACACUGAGGCCAAUGGGUAGCUGCAGAUCAUCAAAGCUGAUGUUUGGCAUAUCAAACCACUCGUCAAUGAAGUUGUGGAUGAUGGUUACAUCAAAGAGAGGCAGAUCAUUGAAGAUUUCGGCUUCUUCUUUGCUCUUGAUGAGUUGCUCAAGAGCGUCAUCUGCAAGAUCUUCAUCACUUGACAGAUCAAUGUCAUCAUUGCGCAGAAUGGCAGCAGCUGUUAGCUCUUGGCCGGUGUGUGGCAGAGGCAUCUUGGCCUUCUAGGGCUUGGAGAUGCGUGAUAAAUCUUCGGACUGCACACUGUCUUCAGGAGAUGCAGUUGCCAGUGGCUUCGCCCUUGAGAUUUUUGGUGAAGGGGCAGGCUUUGAAGCUUUGGGCUUCUUCAACUUCUUUGGUGUUGGCGCUGCAGGCGCUUCAUCUGAUUCAGCGUUAGCUGCAGGCUCAUUCACGGUUGUCCCUUGAACCAAGAUAUGGGUGAUGAGUCCUGCAAGGUUGUAGAAAGGACCGACGACAUUGGGUUCCGCAUCGCGUGUGCCGUCAGCCCUUGGAGCAGAAGGACCAGGGUUGAAGUCUAAUCCAAAAGACUUCUUGUUCUGCUUUGCUGAGUUCUUGGCAAACUGGAAGUUGCGCUUGAAUAGAUUGUCGUCACGGCACCAUAGUAGUGACGAUGGGUGUGCAUCUGCAGGCUGUGGCCCACGCACCAUGCAGGGAUAGAAGCCUUGUUCAAUGGCUUCUUCUCUGGACCUGGGUUGAAGAUUCUUGUAUAGGAUGUCUCCCCAUGGUCUCUUGAUGGCAUUUCUCUCAGCAUAUUCCUGGGUCACAAACCGGUAUUUGAACCAUUGUUCUGCCCAAUAUCUUCGAAUCCAUUGGAUUCGGGUCUUGCGCUGAUUAUAAUCCUGUUCAGGAUCUGUCUUGUAAAGCUCUGAGAGGUCAUCAGGAAAAUCUCUUGAUGUCCCCCCACGACGCUGUCUGCCACCCUUCCUUACUGAUUUCUCUGCAGCCAUGAACUUCAAACUGAAAGGCUUCAAAACGUUCAAAGGCUUCAAAGGUUUUCGCUUGCUGGACAAACAGGAACUGGCUUCGGGAGAAUUUAUAUGAUGCUGUAAGAAUUCUGCAAAUGAAUGCAGACUAUGAGAACCAAGGGAUUCUCCCAUGGACAUGUACCUGUGACAACAUUAAGGUGCAAGGGAAGGGGAAGAGGUCAUAUGCAUUCUCAGGAGAUUUUGAAGAUAAAUCAGUUUAGAAGACAUUGACCUCAUCGUGCGAAGACAUUCACUCAUAGAUAAGGAGUUGGUUCCAGAUUUGUACGAAUCCAGUGAUCAGUACAAGUGAGGAAUCUAACUACUUGUGAAGCAUAAGUGAAUAUACUAGGCAUGUUAUGAGAUGCAGUAGGAAAGAGAUCCAACUUGUGUGAAUAGAAACUUCUUAUGGUAGAAAGUGACAAAGCCAUAGGAUCAAAAGGGGCCGUAAAAAGAAGUUUUAUUUACCACACUUGGAACUGCUAGAUGGAGUGGAAGAGGAGGCCGAGCAGUUCGAUCUUCUGUGCCCUAACUUGGCGACGAAGGACACCUACGGCGACGGCGGAGAGGACGAUGUCCGCGGUCGGUGUGAAGACGGCGUCGGAGAGGUUGCGGCAGUGAAGCGCUUCGUCGCCGGCGUCGUCGAGGGCUAGCAGUGGCACUAGGGUUCGUGCGAGGGUGGAAGAAGAGAUGAUGACCGCUGUGAAGGGUGUAUUUAUAGGUACAGGGGCGGCACUGCGUUAUUACACAGGUGCCCCUGGCGAUUCACAUCUGAGGAACACGUGGCCAUCAUGCAGUAUAUUGGGGUUUGUUCCACGUCUCACGCACGCCUAGAUUGUCGGGUGGUCGUUCCUACUUCUCCGGGUUUCAUGUGGAGGAAUGGGCAUUGAAAACGGACUUAAUGUUUGUCUCUGUAUGUUCUGCUGACAAGGACGCAGAGAAGACAUUCGACAGUUUCAAUAGAAUGCAUAUGAUUUGGAGAGAUAGAGUUUGAGAUAGAGAGCACAGAGAGGUUAGGGUCCGAUCACAUUCACUUAGAUCAAAAGAUUCAACAAGAAGACAUAGCUAUAAGUGAAUACUGUAGAGGACAGAACACUAGUAUAUAUAUAUAUAUAUAAUCAACAUAGUGAAGAUAAUCAUGAAAACAUGUUGAGAUUGAAACCAAACCAAAUGUGAAGUCAUAGCAAGGUAAUGCCAUGAGUGAAACACUUCAAAUAGAACAUUUGGUGGUGGCGUUACCCACCGUAUAGGAAGUAUUAGACCCAGACACGGCGCACAAUUAUCGUGGCGCUCCGAAGUCAAAUUCCACAUUAAUGUAUUCACACUUAGAAUGUAUGUCUUCAUUGAUUGAAGAUAUACUUUACUUCGUGUGUUGCACAUCUAAGUCAUCAAUAUGCAUAAGGGUUAGGAUGUGUGCCUGAUCACAGGACAUUUGAGGAUUCCAGGAUAUUUAGCUCACAUCGUAACUUGCAAAAUCUCUUCUCAUCCAAGGGCUUGGUGAAGAUAUCUGCCAAUUGCUCUUCAGUGUUGACGUGUAUGAUAUCAAUAUCUUCCUUCACAACAUGAUCUCUGAGAAAGUGAUGACGAAUUUCAAUGUGCUUUGUCUUCGAGUGCUGAACAGGGUUGUUGGCAAUCUUGAUGGCGCUUUCGUUGUCACAGUAGAGUGGCACUUGCUUCAGAUGAAUGCCAUAGUCCUUGAGGGUUUGCUUCAUCCACAGAAGCUGAGCGCAGCAAGAUCCAGCAGCAAUGUAUUCAGAUUCAGCAGUGGAGAGAGAUACACAGUUCUGCUUCUUUGAAGACCAACAUACAGGUGAUCGUCCCAGAAAAUGACAUGUGCCUGAUGUAGACUUGCGAUCCACCUUGUCACCAGCAUAAUCAGCAUCCGAGAAUCCAACCAGAUCAAACUCUGAGCCCUUUGGAUACCAUAAUCCUAGAGUUGGGGUGUGAGCCAAAUAUCGAAGAAUUCGCUUCACAGCUAGGUGAUGCGACUCCUUUGGUGCCGCUUGAAAUCGAGCACACAUGCAAACACUAAGCAUAAUAUCUGGCCUAGAUGCACAUAGAUAAAGCAAAGAACCAAUCAUGGAGCGGUAUACCUUUUGAUCGAACUCUUUACCAUUGUCGUCAGGACCCAGAUGAUGCUUGGCUGGUAUUGGCGUCGUGAACCCUUUGCAGUCUUGCAUACCGAACUUCUUAAGGCAAUCCUUGAGAUGCUUCUCUUGAGAUAUGAAGAUGCCGUUGCGUUGCUGUCGUAUUUGAAUACCGAGGAAAAACUUCAGCUCUCCAUCAUGGACAUCUGAUAUUGCUCUUGCAUCAUAUAUCCAAACUCUUCACUGUACUUCUGAUUGGUGCAGCCGAAGAUAAUGUCAUCCACAUAUAUUUGGCACACAAACAGUUAACCAUCAUAUGUCUUCGUGAAGAGAGUGGGGUCGAGGGAACCAGGUAUGAAGCCUUUGCUCUUCAGGAAGUAUUUGAGUGUGUCAUACCAGGCCCGAGGGGCUUGUUUGAGGCCAUAUAGUGCCUUGUUGAGCUUGUAUACCGUAUCAGGAUGUUUUAGAUCUUCAGAGCCAGGUGGUUGUGCAACAUACACUUCUUCUUCAAUCUUUCCAUUGAGAAAGGCGCUCUUCACAUCCAUUUGAUAAAGAAGUAUGUUGUGAUGAUUUGCAUAGGCCAGCAGUAUGCGUAUGGCUUCAAGUCUAGCCACAGGAGCAAAUGUUUCAUUGAAGUCAAUGCCUUCCACUUGAGUAUAUCCUUGAGCAACUAGACGAGCUUUGUUUCUGACAACUUGACCAUGCUCAUCUUGCUUGUUGCGGUAUAUCCAUUUUGUGCCUAUUAUGUUGUGCUUCCGAGGAUCAGGACGCUUAACCAGUUCCCAUACAUUAUUCAGCUCAAACCGUUGAAGCUCUUCUUGCAUAGCUUGAAUCCAUUCAGGUUCCAUGAAGGCUUCUUCCACUUUCUUGGGUUCUGUUAUUGAGACGAAUGCGAAGUGCCCACAGAAAUUUGCCAGCUGGGUUGCCCUUGAUCGACUGAGCGGACCAGGUGCAUUGAUGCUGUCAAUUAUUCUCUCAAUUUGCACUUCAUUGGCAACACGAGGAUGUACAGGGCGAAGACUUUGCUCUUGCUGAUCAUUGUCGUUGUUGGAGGGAUUGUCUUCAGGUUGAGCAUUGUCUUCAGGUUGAUCUGGUGCAGAGAUGAUGAGUUCCUCUUCAGGAUGAGCUUUAGAAGGUAUGAUUUCUCCAGUUCCCAUUAGCUUGAUUGAUUCACUGGAUGGAACUUCAUCUAGCACAUUUGGCAGGUGCUCUCUUUGUGAACCGUUAGUCUCAUCGAACCGCACAUCCACGGUUUCAACCACUUUAUAAUGAAAGAGGUUGAAGACUCUGUAGGAGUGCGAAUCCUUUCCAUAUCCAAGCAUAAAACCCUCAUGUGCUUUUGGGGCAAACUUUGAAGUGUGAUGUGGGUCCUUGAUCCAGCACCUUGCGCCAAAUACUCUGAAGUAACUGGCAUUUGGCUUCUUGCCAGUGAGGAGCUCAUACGAUGUCUUGUUCAGAAGCUUGUGAAGAUAAACACGAUUGAUUGUAUGGCAUGCAGUAUCAAUGGCUUCAGGCCAGAAUUUUCUUGGAGUCUUGUAUUCAUCUAGCAUUGUUCUGGCCAUCUCAAUGAGUGUUCUGUUCUUGCAUUCGACGACGCCAUUCUGCUGUGGCGUGUACGGGGCUGAGAAUUCAUGUGUGAUGCCCAAGGUAUCAAGAUAUGUAUCAAGGCCAGUGUUCUUGAAUUCAGUGCCAUUGUCACUUUUGAUGUGCUUUAUCUUGGCACCAUAGUUGUUCAUUGCUCGAUUGGCGAAGCGUUUGAAGACAUCCUGCACUUCAGUCUUGUAAAGGAUUAUAUGCACCCAAGUGUAUCUAGAAUAAUCAUCAAUAAUGAAGAAGCCAUAGAGACAAGCAGUAGUAGUAAGAGUUGAGUAAUGAGUGGGACCGAAAAGAUCCAUGUGAAGCAGCUCGAAGGGUCGAGUAGUAGUCAUGAUUGUCUUCGAGGGAUGCUUGGCCCUCGUCAUCUUUCCUGCUUCACAGGCACCGCAUAAGUGAUCUUUCUUGAACUUGACGCCCUCAAUGCCUAUGACAUGCUUCUUCUUUGCCAGGGUGUGGAGGUUCCUCAUGCCAGCAUGCCCAAGCCUCCGAUGCCAGAGCCAGCAUUCUGAAGCUUUUGCUAGAAGACAUACGGCAAGUUGUGGUCCUGCUGAGAAAUCUACCACGUACAGAUCGUCUUUCCGAUACCCUUCAAACACUAGAGACUUGUCAGAUUCCAUUAGAACAAGGCAACAAUAUUUUCCAAAUAUUACGAUCAUGUUCAAAUCGCAUAGCAUUGAGACAGACAUUAAGUUGAAGCCAAGGGAUUCAACAAGCAUGACUUUAUCCAUGUGUUGAUCCUUUGAGAUUGCAACUCUACCUAGACCCAAUACCUUACUUUUACCAGUGUCAGCAAAUGUGAUGUGGCUCUUGUCGGAAGGACGUAAGGUUGAGUCCAUCAGAAGGCUUCUUUUGCCAGUCAUGUGAUUUGUACACCCACUAUCAGUAAUCCAUUCUGUAUACGCUGGUGUCGUACCCUACAGUGCAGUUAGGGGGAUAGGCUUCACGAAGAGAGUUGUGAAGCAAAAACAUUUGACGAACCAGUGGGUUAUGAAAGCUUAGAUCCAGAUUAGUACUGAUAGGGAGAGUAGCAAGCGAUUCAGGAACGAAGUACAUAGUAAGACCAUUCGGCAUUUGAUCUUGCGCCCUACAAGAUGUUUAAGGUCCCCAGCGAUAGCGUCAGAAGAUUUUGGUUUUCUGCUGGAGACCUUUCCCUGCAAAAGAGAGUUAAGCCUUCUUAACAACCCACAUCUUCAAGGGUGGCUUAGAAGCGAUAAGUCUAAGUGCAGAGUCUGAAAACUUUGGCUUUGGGGCUCUAGCAAAAAGUCUUGCAGGUGGACAAUAAUACUCAUAAGAAUAAGCAGAAUAGUUUUUGGUCUUAUGAACAUGGCGGUUCGAUGAACCGCGCUCAUAUUCAUAGGCCUGAGUAUGGUUUCCCUGCAAAACAUUUGCAUUAGUCCGACUCAGGUGAGUCCUCUGUCUGUAUGAAGCCUUUGGGCCAUAUGAAGCCUGUGGUCUGGGGUUUGUCUUCUUCAUCUAUGGUGUCAUGAUGACAUUCACAGGAAGAUUUUCCAAACACCUUUUGGGCACCCAGACCUUCUUCAUAGGCGGUCCAUUCCUGCAGUUAGUACCAAUGUACCUGGCAAAAACUUCACCAUUCUGAUUCUUAAAUAGUUUAUAGUUUGCAUCAAAGGAUUCAUCAAUGACAAUGGGGUUAGCACAAGUGAAGCCAGAUAGACUGGAUGGAUUUGCUGAAGGUUCCUUUGCAGCAACCCAUGUGGUUUUGGGAUACUGCUCGGGUUUCUAGUAAGAGCCAUCAGCAUUCAUUUUCCUUAUGAACCCAACACCCUCUUUCCUCGGGUUUCGGUUCAGAAUCUGCCUUUUGAGGACAUCACAUAGUGUCUGAUGCCCUUUAAGACUUUUGUACAUCCCUGUUUCAAGCAAUGUCUUCAACCUAGCAUUCUCAUCAGCAAUCGCAGUAGUAUCCUCAGUAGAGGGGUUAGUUACCACAUCAACAGUUGAAGAUAUUGCAACAGUAGCAGUAGUAGAACAUUCAGCAACAGAAGCAGCAUUAUCACGCUCAAUGCAUUUAAGACAUGGUGGUUCAAAUCCUUCCUGAGCGGAACUGAUCUGUUCGGCGCGAAGUGACUCGUUUUCCUUUUGAAGAUCUUCAUGAGCCGCUCUCAAUUUCUCAAGAUCUUGCUUCCUUUGAAGAUAAUCAUAGGAAAGCUUUUCAUGAGUUGUUGAGAGCGUUUCAUGACAACUUUCAAGUUCCUCAUAUUUAACGUGAAGAUUUUUUAUGUCUUGAAUUAAGGAUUCAGAUCGAGUCAUUUCAACGCCCAACAAAUCAUCGCUUUUGUCUAACAGUUUUUGAAUAUGUUCCAUGGCUUUCUGUUGUUCAGUUGCAAUUUUAGCAAGUGUUUUGUAGCUGGGUCUUGAAUCACAAUCAGAGUCAUCAUCACUAGAUGUUUGAUAGUGAGUAGUGCGUGUGUUUACCUUGGCACCGUGUGCCAUGAAGCAGUAGGUAGGAGCAGAGUCGUCCUUGUCAUUUGCAUCGGCGUCGGUGGUGAAGUCAUUGUCUUCAGUGUUGAAGAUGGACUUGGCAACGUAUGCUGUAGCCAGACUUGCAACACCAGAAUCGGACUCCUCCUCAGACUCCACCUCCGCCUCCUCAGACGCGGACUCCUCCUCUGAAUCCAUUUCCUUGCCAACAAACGCACGUGCCUUGCCAGAUGAGCUCUUCUUGUGUGAUGAAGACUUUGAGGAAGACUUGGAAGAAGACUUUGAGUAUUUCUUCUUCUUCUUGUCGUCAGAGUCAUAUUCCUUGCUCUUCUUCUUCUUUCUAUUCUCAUUGUCCCACUGCGGACACUCAGAGAUGAAGUGGCUAGUUUUCUUGCACUUGUGACAUGUUUUCUUCUUGUAGUCAUGAGCAGAAGCUUCAUCAUUCCUUGAGCUUGAUCGUGAAGACUUUCUGAAGCCUUUCUUCUUGGGGAAUCUUUGGAACUUCUUUACAAGCAUAGCAAGUUCCUUUCCAAUGUCUUCAGGAUCGUCAGAACUGCUGUCAGAUUCUUCUUCAGAUGAGGAGACAACUUUUGCCUUCAGGGCACGAGUUCGCCCAUAGUUUGGACCGUAGAUAUCUCUUUUCUCAGAAAGCUGAAACUCAUGUGUGUUGAGCCUCUCAAGUAUGUCGGACGGAUCGAGUAUCUUGAAAUCAGGUCGUUCUUGAAUCAUCAGGGCUAGGGUGUCAAACAAACUGUCAAGUGAUCUCAGUAGUGUCUUGACGACUUCAUGCUUGGUGAUCUCAGUGGCGCCGAGCGCUUGAAGCUCAUUUGUGAUGUCAGUGAGUCGGUCAAAUGUGAGCUGGACAUUCUCAUUGUCAUUUCGCUUGAAGCGGUUAAAGAGGUUGCGAAGAACGCUGAUUCUCUGAUCUCUCUGGGUUGAGACGCCUUCGUUGACCUUGGAGAGCUAGUCCCAGACCAGCUUCGAUGUUUCCAAAGUGCUCACACGGCCAUACUGUCCUUUGGUCAGAUGACCACAGAUAAUGUUCUUGGCAGUAGAGUCCAGUUGAACGAACUUCUUGACAUCAGCAACAGUGACACCUUCUCCAGCCUUGGGAACGCCGUUCUUGACGACAUACCAUAGGUCGACGUCAAUGGCUUCAAGAUGCAUGCGCAUCUUAUUCUUCCAGUAGGGAUAUUCAGUUCCAUCGAAGACGGGGCACGCAACGGAGACUUUAAUUAUCCCUGCAGUCGACAUAGCUAAAACUCCAGGUGGUUAAACCGAAUCACACAGAACAAGGGAGCACCUUGCUCUCAUACCAAUUGAAAGUGCAUUAUAUCGACUAGAGGGGGUGACUAGGCGAUUUUUAUGAAAGUCUUAAAAACAUGGAAGUUUCGAAGACAAAUGAUAGAAAUAAACCUAUUACCAUGCAGCGGAAGUUAGACUACACUAGAUAAACCAUAGUCAUGUAUUCAAUGAAGUGAAAGGACAAUGACUAAUAGUAGCUAGGUAGUAAGGAUCAGGCAGGAAGAUAUUAAGAAGCCAAACGGAUCACACAGUCACUCAGUGAAGACAAAAGAUAGAGCAAACAUACAAUGACUUCACACAGAGUAACAGUAAGUAAAGAGAAGGGAAGGAUGAAACCAGUGACUCGUUGAAGACAAAUAUUUGUUGGACCAGUUCCAGUUGCUGUGACAACUGUACGUCUGGUUAGGGCGGCUAGGUAUUUAAACCAAAGGACACAUAGUCCCGGACACCCAGUCCUGAACACGCAGCUCAGGACACCCAGUCCUCACAGUAUUCCCCUUGAGCUAAGGUCACACAGACCUCGCCCAAUCACUCUGGUAAGUCUUCAAGGUAGACUCCCAAACCUUCACAGACUUCGUUCACCGGCAAUCCACAAUGUCUCUUGGAUGCUAUAACGCGACGCCUAACUGGCUGGAGGAUGCACAGUCCUCAAGUGUAAUAAGUCUUCAUAUCACUCAGACAAGAAGACUUAAGUGAUGCCUAAUUCUCUUUGGCUCUGGGUGGUUAGGGCUUUAUCCUCGCAAGGAAUUCUCUCUCAAAGGCUUCGAGGUGGGUUGCUCUCAAACGACAAAAGCCGUACUCUGAAUCCGAGCAGCCAACCGUUUAUGGUUGUAGGGGGUGGGCUAUUUAUAGCCACUAGGCAACCCGACAUGAUUUGUCCGAAAUGACCCUGGGUCACUAAGGAACUGACACGUGUUCCAACGGUCAGAUUUCAAACUCACACGGCAACUUUACUUGGGCUACAAGCAAAGCUGACUUGUCCGACUCUGGACAAGAUUUGCUCUCAUAGUCUUCACUCGAAGACAUAGGUUUUUGUUUAAGCAUCACUUCAGUCAUUCUGACUGGUUCUCUUGGACCCCACUUAACAGUGCGGUGGUUCCUAUGACUCAACACAGAAGAAAAAGAACUACGAAAGAUCUAAGUCUUCGAGCUCCAUAGGCUUCAUGCAGUGUCUUCUCUUGUCAUAGUCUUCAAUGUGAAUAUCUUCAUAUACCACCUUUGACAUCAAUGUCUUCAUACAUUUUUAGGGGUCAUCUCUGGUGGGAAAACCAAAUCAAUGAGGUACUUCUACCUGUGUUAUCCUGCAAUUCUCAUAAACACAUUAGUCCCUCAACUAGGUUUGUCGUCAAUACUCCAAAACCAACUAGGGGUGGCACUAGAUGCACUUACACAGUCGUCUCUAAAGCAUAACCCCAAAAUGAUAGCAGUAAAUUAGUAAGAGACAUCAUAGAUCGCACCAUAUCUAAUAAAGUGCGGUUACGAUGUUCGGACACACCAUUAUGUUGUGGUGUUCCGUGUGGCGUGAGUUGCGAAACUGUUCUGCAUUGUUUCAAAUGAAGACCAAACACGUAACUCAAAUAUUCACCUCCACGAUCAGAUUGUAGAAACUUUAUUUUCUUGUUACGAUAUUUUUCCUCUUCACUCUGAAUUUUUUUGAACUUUUCAAAUGUUUCAGACUUAUGUUUCAUCAAGUAGAUAUACCCAUAUCUGCUCAAAUCAUCUGUGAAGGUCAGAAAAUAACAAUACCCGCCGCGAGCCUCAACACUCAUCGGACCGCAUACAUCCGUAUGUAUUAUUUCCAACAAGUCUAUUGCUCACUCCAUUGUUCCGGAGAAUGGAGUCUUAGUCAUCUUGCCCAUGAGGCAUGGUUCGCAAGCAUCAAGUGAUUCAUAAUCAAGUGAUUCCAAAAGUCCAUCAGCAUGGAGUUUCUUCAUGCGCUUUACACCAAUAUGACCUAAACGGCAGUGCCACAAAUAAGUUGCACUAUCAUUAUUAACCUUGCAUCUUUUGGCUUCAAUAUUAUGAAUAUGUGUGUCACUAUUGUCGAGAUUCAAUAAAAAUAGAUCACUCAUCAAGGGUGCAUGACCAUAAAAGAUAUUACUCAUAUAAAUAGAACAACCAUUAUUCUCUGAUUUAAAUGAAUAUCCGUCUCGCAUCAAACAAGAUCCAGAUAUAAUGUUCAUGCUUAACGUUGGCACCAAAUAACAAUUAUUCAGGUCUAAAACUAAUCCCGAUGGUAGAUGUAGAGGUAGCAUGCUGACGGCGAUCACAUCGACUUUGGAACCAUUUCCCACGCGCAUCGUCACCUCGUCCUUAGCCAAUCUUCGCUUAAUCCGUAGCCCAUGUUUCGAGUUGCAAAUAUGAGCAACAGAACCAGUAUCAAAUACCUAGGCGCUACUACGAGCAUUAGUAAGGUACACAUUAAUAACAUGUAUAUCAAAUAUACCUUUCACUUUGCCAUCCUUCUUAUCCAUCAAAUACUUGGGGUAGUUCCGCUUCCAAUGACCAGUCCCUUUGUAGUAGAAGCAUUCAGUCUCCGGCUUAGGUCCAGACUUGGGCUUCUUCACUUGAGCAACAACUUGCUUGUCAUUCUUCUUGAAGUUCCCCUUCUUCCCUUUGCCCUUUUUCUUGAUACUGGUGGUCUUGUUGACCAUCAACACUUGAUGCUCCUUCUUGAUUUCUACCUCUACAGCCUUUAGCAUUGCGAAGAGCUCGGGAAUUGUCUUAUCCAUCCCUUGCAUAUUAUAGUUCAUCAUGAAGCUUUUGUAGCUUGGUGGCAGUGAUUGAAGAACUCUGUCAAUGACACUAUCAUCAGGAAGAUUAACUCCUAGUUGAGUCAAGUGGUUGUGGUACCUGGACAUUUUGAGUAUAUGUUCACUAACAAAACUAUUCUCCUCCAUCUUACAGCUGUAGAACUUAUUGGAGACUUCAUAUCUCUCAAUCCGGGCAUUUGCUUGAAAAUUUUACUUCGACUCCUGGAACAUCUCAUAUGCUCCAUGAUGUUCAAAACGUUGUUGAAGUCCCGAUUCUAAGCCGUAAAGCAUGGCACACUAAACUAUCGAGUAGUCAUCGGCUUUGCUCUACCAGACGUUCAUAAUGUCCGGUGUUGCUUGAUACGUCUCCGUCGUAUCUACUUUUCCAAACACUUUUGUCCUUGUUUUGGACUCUAACUUGCAUGAUUUGAAUGGAACUAACCCGGACUGACGCUGUUUUCAGCAGAAUUACCAUGGUGUUAUUUAUGUGUAGAAAUAAAAGUUCUCGGAAUGACCUGAAACUUCAGGGAACGUCUUUUUGGAAAUAAUAAAAAAUCCUUGCAAAAGAUGAAGACCAGGGGGCCCACACCCUAGCCACGAGGGUGGGGGCGCGCCUGCCCCCCUAGGCGCGACCCCUACCUUGUGGGCCCCCUGGAGCUCCUCCGACCUCAACUCCAACUCUAUAUAUUUGCUUUCAGGGAGAAAAAAAUUAGAGAGAAGGAUUCAUCGCGUUUUACAAUACAGAGCCGCCGCCAAGCCCUAAAACCUCUCAGGAGGGCUGAUCUGGAGUCCGUUCGGGGCUCCGGAGAGGGGAAUCCGUCGCCAUCGUCAUCAUCAACCUUCCUCCAUCACCAAUUUCAUGAUGCUCACCGCCGUGCGUGAGUAAUUCCAUCAUAGGCUUGCUGGACGGUGAUGGGUUGGAUGAUAUUUAUCAUGUAAUCGAGUUAGUUUUGUUAGGGUUUGAUCCCUAGUAUCCACUAUGUUGUGAGAUUGAUGUUGCUAUGACUUUGCUAUGCUUAAUGCUUGUCACUAGGGCCCGAGUGCCAUGAUUUCAGAUCUGAACCUAUUAUGUUUUCAUCAAUAUAUGAGUGUUCUUGAUCCUAUCUUGCAAGUCUAUAGUCACCUACUAUGUGUUAUGAUCUGGCAACCCCGAGGUGACAAUAAUAGGGACCACUCCCGGUGAUGACCGUAGUUUGAGGAGUUCAUGUAUUCAUUAUGUGUUAAUGCUUUGGUCUGGUACUCUAUUAAAAGGAGGCCUUAAUAUCCCUUAGUUUCCGCUAGGACCCCGCUGCCACGGGAGGGUAGGACAAAAGAUGUCAUGCAAGUUCUUUUCCAUAAGCACGUAUGACUAUAUUCGAAAUACAUGCCUACAUUACAUUGAUGAAUUGGAGCUAGUUUUGUGUCACCCUAGGUUAUGACUGUUACAUGAUGAACCGCAUCCGGCGUAAUUCUCUAUCACCGAUCCAUUGCCUACGAGCUUUCCAUAUAUUGUUCUUCACUUAUUUACUUUUCCGUUGCUAUUGCUAUCAUCACUACAAAAUACCAAAAACAUUAAUUUUGCUAUCGUUACCUUUUGCUACCGUUACCACUACUAUCAUAUUACGUUGCUACUAAACACUUUACUACAGAUAUUAAGUUUCUAGGUGUGGUUGAAUUGACAACUCAACUUUCAACUGCUAAUACUUGAUAAUAUUCUUUGGCUCCCCUUGUGUCGAAUCAAUAAAUUUGGGUUGAAUACUCUACCCUCGAAAACUGUUGCGAUCCCCUAUACUUGUGGGUUAUCAAGACUAUUUUCUGGCGUCGUUGCCGGGGAGCAUAGCUCUAUUCUUUGAGUCACUUGGGAUUUAUAUCUGUUUAUCAUUAUGAAGAACUUGAGAGAUCCAAAAACCAAGAUUUAUCUCUCAACUACGAGGGGAGGUAAGGAACUGCCAUCUAGCUCUGCACUUGAUUCACCUUCUAUUUUGAGUAAGCUUGCGACACCUAAACCUGCUUCUGCUAUUCAUUCUGAUAUGUCGCAUGUUAUUAAUGAUGCCACUUGUGCUAUGCAUGAUACUUAUGAUGAAACUACUUCUAUGCUUGAUACUACUGUGCCACUUGGUGAAUUUCUUGAUGAACAACUUGCUAGGGUUAGAGAGAAUGAAAUUAUUGAAACUGAUAAUAUAUAUAUAUAUAUUUGAAUAUAUACUGUAGGGUAAAACCCCCACAGCCCUUUAUUGCAGUCUCAAAAAACAAACUGUACAGUGAAAGAAAGAGAUGACAAGCCUAAACGAAAAGUUAAGAAGAACUUACAAUUACAUGAGGGAGUUAACUCAAUCUACAAGCCUAGACUUAGAGCUAUCCUUAAACCUAUGUGACAGGAGAAGAAUGUCAUGUACAAAACUGCCCCUCCAGGCAACAAAAGUAGCCCGUAGUCCCCUGAAAGUUCUUCCAUUUCUCAGAAUCCAUAUAUUCCAAGCAGCUGUGAGCAUAACUUCAAAGAAGAAAGGAUACCCAAAUCGCUGCCUUGCUUGAGAUAUACAUUGCUGAAUAGAAGAACCAUGUGACCAAUCGAUCUGCAGGUAUUUCCAAACCCUGGCACUGAAAUUACAACCAAAGAAUAGGUGAGCCCUGUCCUCCCAAACAAAGGCAUUACAGAUGACACAUAGAUGAUCAGCCGUAGGGGACCUCCGGUGGCUGCGGACCAGCACGUCCUUUGUGUUGAGUCUGUCAAAGAAUAGGAGCCAGCCAAAAACCUUAAUUUUCAUAGUACAUAUGCUCUGCCAAAGCCACCUGCAGGGUUUAAUAGUUGGGAGGUGUGUAUGCAUGAUGUCAUAGAAGCUCUUUGCAGAAAACUGUCCAGAUUUACCAGGCCAAAUCCAAACAUCAGGCAAUGUUGGAUCUCUCUGGAGAUUGAACAUCCUUCCUUCCAAGGAUUCCAAUUCUGCUGCUGCCUGCUGAGAAAUUGGCAGAUGAAACAUUGAGAACAAAUCCUGGGUUUGCAAAAACUCCCUGACAGAAACCUUAUCAUCCAAAACAAAAGAGAAAAGCCUUGGUAAUCUGAGGCUUAGUGGCCUUGAAGAGCCACCUACAUGGCAAGCAUCCAGCCAAAAGAGAGCAGAAUCACCCAUAUUAACUGGCACUGAAGCAAUUGACCUAUAAGUGUCAGCAAGCUUGAGAAUGUCCUUCCACCAAAAGGAGCCAGUUAGGACUGUUGCAUGGGGCACCACUCCAUCAUAAUAACUAUCCCAAAUCAACUGGACCCAAGGAAUCUGCUGUUUGUUGUAGAACUUAUGCAUUUGUUUGAGAAGCAGACCUUGAUUUUGAACAUUGAGGUUGAGAAUGCCAAGUCCUCCCUUAUCCUUUGGUCUGCAAACUAAAUCACAGGCAGCUAGGGAUUGCUUAGGCACAUCAGAAUUUCCUCUCCACAAACACUGCCUGAAAAUCCUAUCCAACUGUUUGAUAAUACCAGGUGGGAUAUGCAAGCUGCAGAGGAAGUAUAUGGGCAUUGAAGUAAGCACAGAUGUGAGAAAUUGUAACCUGGAUCCUUGGUUGAGCAUGGCAGAGCUAACAGACAGUCUUCUUUCAAGACUAUCCACUAAAGGCAUGAAAUCAAUGAUUCUAGGUCUUGUUGUACCAAGAGGCAAACCCAGAUAUGUGAAAGGUAACUGCUCCGGUUUACAUCCCAGGAUGGAAGACAACCUCUGUGCCUCUGUGGGAUCAACAUUUAGUGGCACCAUUGAAGACUUUCCAAAAUUUACCUUUAGGCCAGUAGACUGUUGGAAAAUAUGGAGCAUGUUCUUGAGAGCCACCAACUGGUCCUGUACUGCAGAAAGGAUAAUUAUUGUGUCAUCUGCAUACUGAAUGAUAGGAAAUUCAGGGUCCUAAGAUGGGAUUGGAAGUGUUAGAACUCCCUUAGCCAGCAUGUUAUUGACCAUUGUUUGAAGAAGAUCGGCAGCUAUGACAAAUAAAAGAGGGGAUAGGGGAUCCCCCUGCCUGACCCCACAUUUAUAUUUGAACUGUUUGCCAGGCACCCCAUUAAGCAAAACAGAUGAUGAUCCUGAGGAGAGAAUCUCUUUAAUCCAAGAAAUCCAUUUGGCAUCAAAACCUUUGUGCUGUAGAACUUGCAAGAUGAAGUCAUGCUCCACAGUGUCAAAAGCUUUGGCAAAAUCCAAUUUCAAAAUGAUGGUUGGCCUUUUGGAUUGAUUGCAUUGAUGUAUAUAUUCAAAAGCCCAAGCCAGGCAGUCCUGAAUGGCUCUGCUCUUCAAAAACCCAUAUUGAUUCUUAUGGAUGCAUUGCAGAAUGACCUUUUGAAGCCUAUUUCCCAAAAGCUUAGUAAGGAACUUGAGGCAUGUGUUAGUAAGAGAGAUUGGUCUAAAAUCCUCAAGUCCUUCAGGAGACAACAUCUUUGGAAUUAAGGUGAUAAGGGAUCCAUUAAUAUUUUCCAAAGAUAGCCUCCCAUCAUAAAACCCCUGAAUGAGAGCCAAGAAAUCCUUCUCAAUGAUGGGCCAACACUUCUUAACAAAAAGACCAUUAAAACCGUGAAAGUGAUGAUGAAGAUUCUCCCCCUAAUAAAUAUGAAUUGCCUGUUGUGCCUGAGGGCUAUGUUAUGGAUGAAGAAAUUGCUAAAGCUAUUUUUGUUUGCAAAGAUAGAUAUGAUCUUAAGAAGUUAUUAGCUAAAUGGAAGCAGCAAUCUCUUAAUGCUAGAAUGAAACCUGACCCUGCUUUUGCUACUUCACCUAUCUGUGUUACUGAUAAGGAUUAUGAAUUCUCUGUUGAUCCUGAUAUAAUUACUUUGGUUGAAUCUGAUCCUUUUCAUGGCUAUGAGUCUAAAACUGUUGUGGCACAUCUUACUAAAUUAAAUGAUAUAGCCACCCUAUUCACUAAUGAUGAGAGAACUCGUUACUUUUAUAUCCUUAAAAUAUUCCUGUUCUCAUUAAAGGGUGAUGCUAAGAUAUGGUUUAAUUCUCUUGAUCCUGGUUGUGUGCGUAGUCCCCAGGAUAUGAUUUAUUACUUCUCUGCUAAAUAUUUCACUGCUCAUAAGAAACAAGCUGCUUUGAGGGAUAUAUAUAAUUUUGUGCAAAUUGAAGAAGAGAGUCUCCCACAAGCUUGGGGGAGGCUUCUCCAAUUACUUAAUGCUUUGCCUGAUCAUCCUCUUAAGAAAAAUGAAAUAUUGGAUAUAUUUUAUAAUGGACUAAGUGAUGCUUCCAGAGAUUACCUGGAUAGUUGUGUUGGUUCUGUUUUCAAGGAAAGAACACCGGAUGAAGCUGAAAUUCUAUUGAAUAAUAUGUUGACAAAAGAAAAUAAUUGGACACUUCCUGAGCCAGCUCCUGAGCCUAUUCCUAAACCAACUCCGAAGAAGAGGGGUAUUCUAUUUCUCAGUCCUGAAGAUAUGCAAGAGGCAAAGAAAUCCAUGAAAGAAAAGGGUAUUAAAGCUGAAGAUGUUAAGAAUUUACCUCCUAUUGAAGAAAUACACGGUCUUAAUUUACCGCCUGUUGAAGAAACAUAUGAUCUUAAUCCAUUACCUAUUGAAGAAAUACAUGGUCUUGAUAACCCGACACAAGUAGUAAAGGUAAACUCUCUCUAUAGAUAUGAUAAAAUUGAAAUCCCUCUUACUAAGUUUGCUAGCCAAUGCUUAGAUGAGUUUGAUAAUUUUAUGGUGAAGCAAGAAGAUUUUAAUUCUUAUUUUGGUAGACAAUUGAAAUACAAUUCAAAUAUGCUUGAACACUUGGGUGAUUAUAUGGCUAAUGUUAAAGGUGAAAUUAAACUUAUUAGCAAACAUGCUUCUAUGGUUACCACUCAAGUAGAACAAGUACUUAAAGCUCAAAAUGAUUUGCUCAAUGAACUGAAUAGUAAGAAUAAUGAUAAUGCUGUUAGAGUUAUGACUAGAGGUGGUAAAAUGACUCAAGAACCUUUGUAUCCUGAAGGCCAUCAUAAGAGAAUUGAGCAAGAUUCUCGGAGAAAUAAUAUAGAUGCACCUAGUUCUUCUAAAAGGAAGAAAAAGAAAAAUGAUAGGACUUUGCAUGCUUCUAGUGAACCUAUUGAUGAAACACCUGAGAAUCCAAAUGAUAUUUCUAUUUCUGAUGCUGAAACACAAUCUGGUAAUGAACCUGAAACUAGUGAUAAUAUUAAUGAUAAUGUUCAUGUUGAUGCUCAACCUAGCAAUGAUAAUGAUAUAGAAAUUGAACCUGUUGUUGAUCUUGAUAACCCACAAUCAAAGAAUCAACGUUAUGAUAAGAGAGACUUUGUUGCUAGGAAACAUGGUAAGGAAAGAGAGCCUUGGGUUCAGAAACCCAUGCCUUUUCCUCCCAAACCAUCCAAGAAAAAGGAUGAUGAGGAUUUUGAGCACUUUGCUGAAAUGAUUAGACCUACCUUUUUGCGUAUGCGAUUAACUGAUAUGCUUAAAAUGAAUCCUUAUGCUAAGUACAUGAAAGAAAUUGUUACUAAUAAAAGAAAGAUACCGGAAGCUGAAAUUUCCACCAUGCUUGCUAAUUAUACUUUUAAAGGUGGAAUACCUAAGAAACUAGGAGAUCCCGGAGUACCAACUAUACCAUGCUCCAUUAAAAGAAAUUAUGUUAAAAUUGCUUUAUGUGAUCUUGGAGUCGGUGUUAGUGUUAUGCCUCUCUCUUUAUAUCAUAGACUUGAUUUGAAUAAGUUGACACCUACUAAAAUAUCUUUGCAAAUGGCUGAUAAAUCAACUGCUAUACCUAUCGGUAUUUGUGAGGAUGUGCCUGCUGUGGUUGCAAACGUUACUAUUUUAAUGGACUUUGUUAUUCUUGAUAUUCCCGAGGACGAUAGUAUGUCUAUUAUUCUUGGAAGACCCUUUUUGAAUACUGCAGGGGCUGUUAUUGAUUGCAACAAAGGCAAUGUCACUUUUCAUGUUAAUGGUAAUGAGCAUACGGUACACUUUCCGAGGAAACAACCUCAAGUCCACAGUAUCAAUUCUAUUGGAAAAAUUCAAUCGAUUAUUUUUGAAGGUUUUGAAUUUCCUCUUCCUACUGUCAAAAGAAAUAUGAUAUUCUUAUUAUUGGGGAUGUGCAUAUCCCCGUUGAGGUAACAUAGUGUUAUUCGAAAUUCCUCCGGUUCCAUGUUAUUCGGAAUGAGUUUGCUAACAAGACUUGAUCAACCAUGUUAACGGAUUCCUUUUGAUGAGCAUGAGAUGGAUGAAACUAGAAGGCACAACUCUCCGUACCCUCCUUUUACUUUCUGUUAUUUAUAUUAAAUAAAAUUAAAAGAAGUAUUUUCCGUCUGUUAUCUGAUUUAUCCGUGCAAUAUAAAAUACCCCGAAAAUAAAAGUUCUCCAAAUGCCUUGAAAUUUAAAUAUGAUUUUUUCUGGAAUAUUUGAGAAUAUUUGGCACUAAGAACACAACACAGGGGGCAUCCACCUGGCCACGAGAGUGGAGGGCGCGCCCUACCCCCCCUGUGCGUGCCCCUUGCCUCGUGGGCCCACGGUGGCCCUCCUCCACUUAUUCCUGCACCCACACACUCCUUCCUCCCAUAAACACGAUUAUCCAGUUCGAACCCAAGUCCAAGCUCAUUUUGCUGCUAUUUUCGAUCUCCUUGCUCAAAGCACCUCUCACAAAACUGCUUGGGGGGAUUGUUCCUUGGUAUGCGACUCCUCCAUUGGUCCAAUUAGUUUUUGUUCUAGUGCUUUAUUCAUUGCAAAUUUAUGUUGUCUAGGUGCCCAUGUUCCUGAGCUUGCAUGUCAAAUUUAUGUGGUUCCAACUAGUUUUGAUGCAUGAUAUAGGCUCUAGGCACUUGUAGGAGUUGUUGCUAUCAAUUUUGUUGAGCUUGGCUCACUUUUAUUUGAAGUUACUAAAAAUUUCAGAAUUUUUCAGAAAAUAAUGAAGAGAUUUUUGAGGGGCUCAUCAAGCCGAAGCUCGAAGGAAAAGCAAAAUGAAAAAGCAGAGAGGCCCGAAUAUAAUCUGCCUCGCACCGCAGAGGUUCGGCCGUGUGAAUGGCCUUCCAAUGAUUUCUUGAGAGCAGUCGGGAUUUAUGAUGAUUUUUAUGAAUUGGCUGAGAAUGUAGGCCUCACCGCCUUCCUCCAUGACCAACGCGAACAAUAUCUCUUACUCACCAAUAUCUUUGUGCAAAACUUUCAUUUCCAUGCUAGGAGCUCACCACCUACGGUGGAGUUUUAUUUGUAUGAUGAGCACAAGGAGAUGUCACUUUACGAUUUCUGUCGGGUUUGAUUGAUCCCUUUCGAGGGCACAAUAGAGGAACCACACCGCGGUGAUGUGGAUGGGUUUAUAGAUACCAUCACUGUAGGGGAAACGAGGAAGGUUUCCGAUGCACGAAUCACUAGCAUACAUUUUCCUGUUUUACGCUACUUUGCAAUAUUUGCUAGUCGUUGCUUAAUUGGUCGCGAAAACUGUGGAAACCUUAGUGUUCCUGAUAUUAUUAUUUUGUUCCACGGUUUAUUCUGUGAUAAAUCUGUUAGUAUGGGCGGUAUUAUUGCUAAACGGUUAAGUCUCAACUGUACAAAGGGCCCCAUCUUUGGAGGCAUCUAUGCUUCACGCCUAACUGCGCAUUUUAACAUACCUAUUAAGCAUUAUGAGAAGGAAGAAAAAUUGCUGCCCCUGUUUAUUUAGAUUAUAAGAGUAUGGUGGCACACGAUUUUAUUGUUAAGAAUAGGAAAGGGGAGCUUAAAUACAAAUUGUUCUUUGAUAAACAUCAUCCUGAGACUAUUACCCUGCCUACUCCUUCCUUGUUUGAUUUAUCUCCAGGCAAGUACCUUGUUCCGUUAGAGGCUAUUCACGCCUACCGGAACAUUGCAUCAGCCACAGAGCCAGAGUCGGAACCACUAGUUGAUCCUCCACGACAGUCUAAUUACCAUUGGGAUCCAGAAAUGAUAGCCACCAGUGGAAAUCAGAGUCUUCUUCGCAGUACGACCCCAACUAUUACUAUGGAUAUCCGCCAGGCCAGCCGUGGCCAUAGACCAACUUAGGUCAAAAGCCUAAACUUGGGGGAGUACGUAUUUCCCGCCGACAUUACAUUCAUGUUCGCACACUCAUUGCUAGAUGUCGGUGCUCAUACUUUUUCAUUGUAUCAUCCAUGCUAGUUCAUUUCCUUUUUAAGCUUUCUUCUUGUGUGUUUAAUAAACCUUAAGAAAAACCAAAAAAACUAGUUGUAGCUUUUAGCUAGUUUUAAUUUCCAUGCUUGUAGUAGUAAUUAAAAAGAAAACCCAAAAAAAGAUUUCUUGUUCUUGUUUUGCUCGUUGGGAGCUUUCCCGUGUAAAUAGUUUUAUUUCUUUUCUUUGGGGGUCGAUAGGAGAAUACCAUGAUUAAAUUGUUGAAGUGGCUCUUAUAUAUAUUUUUUAUCUGACAAAAGAGCCCAUAUUGCCUUGUCUUCUCCAGUUUAUUGAAUGCUUGCAGAUUCCAGCUUAGUCCAAUGCACGCGCACUAUUAUUAUUAUCCACAUCGUUCGGUCGUGCAAGUGAAAGGCAAUUAUGACAAUAUAUGAUGGACUGACUGAGAUGAGAAAAGCUGGUAUAAACUCAACCUCUCUUGUUUUUGUAAAUAUGAUUAGUUCAUCGUUCCUGAUUCAGCCUAUUAUGAAUAAACAUGUUUGCAAUGACAACUAGAGAUCAUAGUUUCUUGUGCCAUGCUUGAUUAGCUAGGAGCUUAUAAUGGUUUACCUUGCGUGCCAACAUGCUAUUAAAAUGGUUGUGAUGUGGUAUGAUAGGGUGGUAUCCUCCUCUGAAUGAUUUGAGUGGCUUGACUUGGCACAUGCUCACGCAUGUAGUUGAAAUAAAAUCAACAUAUCCUCUACGAUAUUUAUGUUCAUGGGGAAUUAUAUCCUACUCAUGCUUGCAUUUGGUGUUGAUUAAUUUUAAUGCAUGUUUAUGAGUGUUGUCGCUCUCUAGCUGGUUGCUUCCCAGUCUUUUGCUAGCCUUCACCUGUACUAAGCGGGAAUACUGCUUGUGCAUCCAAUCCCAUAAACCCCAAAGUUAUUCCAUAUGAGUCCACCAUACCUACCUAUUUACGGUAUCUACCUGCCGUUCCAAGUAAAUUUGUAUGUGCCAAACUCUAAACCUUCAAAUAAAUAUCAUGUUUUGUAUGCUCGAAUAGCUCAUGUAUCAACUAGGGCUGUCUGUAUCUUCCAUGUUAGGCGGGUUAUUCUCAAGAGGAGUGGACUCCGCUCCUCACUCACGAGAAAAUGGCUGGUCACCGGGAUGCCCAGUCCCAUGCUUUAUGCAAAUCAAAUCAAAAUAAUUGCAAACAAAACUCUCCCUAGGACUCUUGUUAGUUGGAGGCACUCGUUGUUUUGAGCAAGCCAUGGAUUGAUGCUUGUUAGUGGAAGGGGAGUAUAAACUUUACCAUUCUGUUUGGGAACCGCCUAUAAUGUGUGUAGCAUAGAAUAUAUCGCCCUCUCUUGGUUGUUAUGUUGACAAUGAAAGUAUACUGCUCAAAAUAUUAUUCACCUCUAUUUCAAAACCGAGCUCUGGCACCUCUACAAAUCCCUGCUUCCCUCUGCGAAGGGCCUAUCUAUUUACUUUUAUGUUGACUCAUCAUCCUCUUAUUAAAAAUCACAAGUUGGAGAGCACCGCUGUCAUUUGCAUUCAUUACUGUUAGUUUACAUUGAGUAUGACUGGACUGGAUCUCUUUUACCAUGAAUUACAAUGUCUAGUCAGUCCUUGAUCUUUAAAGGUGCUCUGCAUUUAUGUUUUGCGGUCUCAGAAAGGGCUAGCGAGAUACCAUCUUGUUAUAUCAUAUCAUGAUUGUUUUGAGAAAGUGUUGUCAUCUGAGAUUUAUUAUAUUGCUCGCUAGUUGAUUAUGCCAUUGAUAUGAGUAAACAUGAGACCUAAAUGUUAUUGUGAAUAUGGUUAGUUCAUAAUCUUUGCUGAAAACUUGAAUGCUGGCUCUACAUAUUUACAACAACAAGAGCAAACAGAGUUUGUAAAAGUUUUUCUUUAUCACUUUCAGCUUAUCAACUGAACUGCUUGAGGACAAGCAAAGGUUUAAGCUUUGGGCAGUUGAUACGUCUUCGUCGUAUCUACUUUUCCAAACACUUUUGCCCUUGUUUUGGACUCUAACUUGCAUGAUUUGAAUGGAACUAGCCCGGACUUACGCUGUUUUCAGCAGAAUUGCCAUGGUGUUAUUUUUGUGCAGAUAUAAAAGUUCUCGGAAUGACCCGAAAAUCAACGGAGAAUUAUUUUGGAAUACAUAAAUAAUACUGGAAGGAAGAUCCACGUCAGGGGGGCCUCCACCUGUCCACGAGGGUGGGGGCGCGCCCUACCCCCCUGGUGCUACCUCUUGAGCACUGCGUUGGUUUUCCCUUGAAGAGGAAAGGGUGAUGCAGUAAAGUAGCGUAAGUAUUCCCCUCAGUUUUUGAGAACCAAGGUAUCAAUCCAGUAGGAGAUCACGCUCGAGUCCCACGCACCUACACAACCAAAUAAGAACCUCGCAACCAACGCGAUAAAGGGGUUGUCAAUCCCUUCACGGUCACUUACGAGAGUGAGAUCUGAUAGAUAUGGUAAGAUAAUAUUUUGGUAUUUUUAUGAUAAAGAGAAAUAAAGAUGCAAAGAAAAAUAAACGGCAAUAGAAAUAACUAAGUAUCACCUGGGCGCACCCCCUGCCUCGUGGGCCCCCUGACGCUCCACCAACCUCAACCCUGACUUCAUAUAUUCACUUUCGGGGAGAAAAAACCAGAGAGAAAGAUUCAUCACAUUUUACGAUACGGAGCCGCCGCCAAGCCCUAAACUCUCUCGGGAGGGCUGAUCUGGAGUCCGUUCGGGGCUCCGAAGAGGGGAAUCCAUCGCCAUCAUCAUCAUCAACCUUCCUCCAUCACCAAUUUCAUGAUGCUCACCGUCGUGCGUGCAUAAUUCCAUCGUAGGCUUGCUGGACGGUGAUGGGUUGGAUGAGAUUUAUCAUGUAAUCGAGUUAGUUUUGUUAGGGUUUGAUCCCUAGUAUCCACUAUGUUCUGAGAUUGAUGUUGCUAUGACUUUGCUAUGCUUAAUGCUUGUCACUAGGGCCCGAGUGCCAUGAUUUCAGAUCUGAACCUAUUAUGUUAUCAUCAAUAUAUGAGCGUUCUUGAUCCUAUCUUGCAAGUCUAUAGUCACCUACUAUGUGUUAUGAUCCGGCAACCCCGAAGUGACAAUAAUCGGGACCACUCCUGGUGAUGACCGUAGUUUGAGGAGUUCAUGUAUUCACUAUGUGUUAAUGCUUUGGUCCGGUACUCUAUUAAAAGGAGGCCUUAAUAUCCCUUAGUUUCUGCUAGGACCCCGCUUCCACGGGAGGGUAGGACAAAAGAUGUCAUGCAAGUUCUUUUCCAUAAGCACGUAUGACUAUAUUCGGAAUACAUGCCUACAUUACAUUAAUGAAUUGGAGCUAGUUCUAUGUCACCCUAGGUUAUGAUUGUUACAUGAUGAACCGCAUCCGACAUAAUUCUCUAUCACUGAUCCAUUGCCUACGAGCUUUCCAUAUAUUGUUCUUCGCUUAUUUACUUUUCCAUUGCUAUUGCUAUCAUCACUACAAAAUACCAAAAACAUUACUUUUGCUAUCGUUACCUUUUGCUGCCGUUACCACUACUAUCAUAUUACUUUGCUACUAAACACUUUGCUGCAGAUAUUAAGUUUCCAGGUGUGGUUGAAUUGACAAGUCAGCUGCUAAUAGUUGAGAAUAUUCUUUGGCUCCCCUUGUGUUGAAUCAAUAAAUUUGGGUUGAAUACUCUACCCUUGAAAACUGUUGCGAUCCCCUAUACUUGUGGGUUAUCAUUGCUCCUGCAGCGGGUCUUGCACAUAGCGGUGCUUCCAGGACGUAAUUCUUCUGUGUAGCAAUGAGGAUAAUCCUCAAGUUACGGACCUAGUCCAUGUAGUUGCUACCAUCAUCUUUCAACUUAGGUUUCUCUACGAACGCAUUAAAAUUCAAAGGGACAUUAGCACGGGCCAUUGAUCUACAACAACAUAGACAUGCAAACUACUAUCAGGUGCUAAGUUCAUGAUAAAUUAAAGUUCAAUUAAUCAUAUUACUUAAGAACUCCCACUUAGAUAGACAUCCCUCUAGUCAUCUAAAUGAUCACGUGAUCCAUAUCAACUAAACCAUGUCCGAUCAUCUCGUGAGAUGGAGUAGUUUCAAUGGUGAACAUCACUAUGUUGAUCAUAUCUACUAUAUGAUUCACGCUCGACCUUUCGGUCUCAGUGUUCCGAGGCCAUAUCUGCAUAUGCUAGGCUCGUCAAGUUUAACCCGAGUAUUCUGCGUGUGCAAAACUGGCUUGCACCCGUUGUAUGUGAACGUAGAGCUUAUCACACCCGGUUAUCACGUGGUGUCUCGGCACGACGAACUAUAGCAAUGGUGCAUACUCAGAGAGAACACUUGUACCUUGAAAUUUAGUGAGAGAUCAUCUUAUAAUGCUACCGCCGUACUAAGCAAAAUAAGAUGCAUAAAGGAUAAACAUCACAUGCAAUCAAAAUAAGUGAUAUGAUAUGGCCAUCAUCAUCUUGUGCCUUUGAUCUCCAUCUCCAAAGAACCGUUAUGAUCACCAUCAUCACCGGCUUGACACCUUGAUCUCCAUCGUAGCAUCGUUGUCAUCUCGCCAACUAUUGCUUCUACGACUAUCGCUACCACUUAGUGAUAACGUAAAGCAAUUACAUGGCGAUUGCAUUUCAUACAAUAAAGCGACAACCAUAAGGCUCCUGCCAGUUGCCGAUAACUUUUACAAAACAUGAUCAUCUCAUACAACAACUUAUAUAUCAUCACGCAAAAACAAGUUAGACGUCCUCUACUUUGUUGUUGCAAGUUUUACGUGGCUGCUACAGGCUUCUAGCAAGAACCGUUCUUAUCUACGCAUCAAAACCACAAUGAUUUUUCAUCAAGUGUGUUGUUUUAACCUUCAACAAGGACCGGGCGUAGUCAAACUCGAUUCAACUAAAGUUGGAGAAACAGACACCCAGUAGCCACCUGUGUGUGAAGCACCUCGAUGGAACCAGUCUCAUGAACGCGGUCAUGUAAUGUCGGCCUGAGCUGCUUCAUCCAACAAUACCGCCAAAUCAAAGUAAGACGUUGCUGGUAAGAAGUAUGACUAUUAUCGUCCACAACUCAUUGUGUUCUACUCGUGCAUAUAACAUCUACGCAUAGACCUGGCUCGGAUGUCAUUGUUGGGGAACGUAGUAUUUCAAAAAAAAUCAUACGAUCACGCAAGAUAUAUCUAGGAGAAGCAUAGCAAUGAGCGGGGAGAGUGUGUUCACGUACCCUCGUAGACCGAAAGCGGAAGCGUUUAGUAACACGGUUGAUGUAGUCGAACGUCUUUGCGAUCCAAUCGAUCCAAACACCAAACGUACGACACCUCCGCGUUCAGCACACGUUCAGCUUGAUGACAUCCCUCGAGCUCUUGAUCCAGUUGAGGCCGAGGGAUAGUUCCGUCAGCACGAUGGCGUGGCGACGGUGAUGAUGAAGUUACCGGCGCAGGGCUUCGCCUAAGAACUACGACGAUAUGACCGAGGUGUGUAACUGUGGAGGGGGGCAACGCCCACGGCUAAGAGAAACUUGUGUCUUUGGGGUGCCCCCCUCCCACGUAUAUAAAUGGGGGGAGGAGGCCGGCCCAAAGGGGGGCGCGCCACAUGUUGGGGGUCCUACUAGGACUCCCUAGUCCUAGUAGGAUUCCCCUCUCCUUUCCUUUUACGGAAGGGGGAAAGGGGGGAAGGAGAGGAGGGGAAGAGGGAAAGGGGGCACGCCCCCUCCCCUUCCUAUUCGGACUCCACUUGGGGGGACGCGCACGCCUCCCCCUUGUGGGUUGUACCCUCUUCUCUCCCAUGGCCCAUAAGGCCCAUGAUUUCCCCCGGGGGGUUCCGGUAACCUCCCGGUACUCCAGAAAAAUGCUCGAAUCACUCGGAAUCAUUCUGAUGUUUGAAUGCAACCUUCCAAUAUAUGAAUCUUUACCUCUCGACCAUUUCUGUGAUCUCAUCCGGGACUCCGGACAAACUUCAGUCAUCAAAUCACAUAACUCAUAAUACAAAUUGGCACGAACGUUAAGCAUGCGGACCCUAUGGGUUUGAGAACUAUGUAGACAUGACUGAGACACAUCUCCGGUCAUUAACCAAUAGCGGAACCUGGAUGCUCAUAUUGGCUCCUACAUAUUCUACGAAGAUCUUUAUCGGUCAAACCGCAUAACAACAUACGUAGUUCCCUUUGUCAUAUGUAUGUUAUUUGCCCGAGAUCCGAUCGUCGGUAUCCCCAUACCUAGUUCAAUCUCGUUACCGUCAAGUAUCUUUACUUGUUCCGUAAUGCAUCAUCAUGUAACUAACUCAUUAGUCACAUUGCUUGCAAGGCUUAUAGUGAUGUGCAUUACCGAGAGGGCUUAGAGAUACCUCUCUGAUACACGAAGUGGCAAAUCCUAAUCUCGAUCUAUGCCAACUCAACAAACACCAUCAGAGACACCUGUAGAGCAUCUUUAUAAUCACCCAGUUACAUUGUGACGUUUGAUAGCACACUAAGUGUUCCUCCGGUAUUCGGGAGUUGCAUAAUCUCAUAGUCAUAGGAACAUGUAUAAGUCAUAAAGAAAGCAAUAGCAAUAAAAUUAAACGAUCAUUAUGCUAAGAUAACGGAUGGGUCUUGUCCAUCACAUCAUUCUCUAAUGAUGUGAUCCCGUUCAUCAAAUGACAACACAUGUCUAUGGUUAGGAAACUUAACCAUCUUUGAUUAACGAGCUAGUCUAGUAGAGGCAUACUAGGGACACUCUGUUUGUCUAUGUAUUCACACAUGUACUAAGUUUCUGGUUAAUACAAUUCUAGCAUGAAUAACAAAGAUUUAUCAUGAUAUAAGGAAAUAUAAAUAACAACUUUAUUAUUGCCUCUAGGGCAUAUUUCCUUCAGGAAGAGCAUCGCGGGUGGGAGGGAGAAGGGGAAUUAAGAGAGUGUGGGUUUGGGUUUGGGCCUCCGCGUGCUAUGUGUACACAUGUGUUGGUGGGUCGAUAGUAGUGGUCCUGGGUUUAUACCCCACGCUACUACUAUGGCCUAUCCCGGGGGUACGGUAGAGACCGCUUAGUAGUAGCGAGGGAUUUAUACCCCUCACUACUACUAUCAACUUAGUAGUAGUGAGGGAUUUAUACCCCUCGCUACUACUAUCAACUUAGUAGUAGUGAGGGAUUUAUACCCCUCGAUACUACUAUGGCCAGUCCCGGGGGGCACGGUGGAGACCACUUAGUAGUAGUGUGGGGUUUAUACCCCUCGCUACUACUAUCAACUUAGUAGUAGUGUGGGUUCUAUACCCCUCGCUACCAAUAAUUAGCAGCAGUGUGGCCCAUAUACCCCUCGCUACGGUUAAGCAUCUAUCUAUAAAGUAUUUUCUAGUAGUGCAUCGAUGGCGGCGAAAUCAGUCGUUCUGCUUGUUUUCCCUACUAGCUCUCUGACGUCCAGAACAAGUUUACGGUCAUAAGGUGCAAUAACCUUGCCUUCAUGAGUGACACGAUGACACGGGAACAGGCUUCCAAGCCUAUGGUGUCGCAUCAUGUCGUGGUCUGCUAGACUUAGUGGACGAAUGCUACUACAAUAUCGGUUGAUCUCAUACUACAAUACCAAGGAAGACACGCAACUACUAUAUAUAUUUCUUCAAGUCAGUCAACACAAGUAAAAUCUGGGAGUUCAACUGGUGCAGCUAUGCAAUGCUAAUGGAGACAACACAAUUCAACUUUAGCACUUCACACAUAAGCAACACCACGUUCAAUGGCACACACCUUAGAGUGUACCUAUGGUGGUUGAUUGGGCUAUAAGAAAUGUGAGUCCAUGUGAAGAUGCCAAAUAUAAUAACACGGCUAAUUACACAUGCAGUGGCAGCAGCAACAAGUGCAUGAAUUCCACAAAUGAUCUAGGGUACACAUGCAACUGUGUCCUUGAGUAUGACAACAACCCUUAUCUUCUAGACAAAUGCAUGGUAUGCUACUAAUUUAUUUGCUAAAUAUUCCAAUGAAUUGUGUCCUUUACUUUGUACAUACCCAAUUAUAAUAUUUUAUUUUGCUAAUACAAUGUAGCCUUCAAUUUAAACCAAGGUUUGCAUCCAUUAAUUAUGUUAGGUUCAUAUGACUUCACUACAUAAAUAGGUAGAUAAUGCAUAAGACUGAGAUUGUAGCUAGGGAUGAAAAUCUAAAUACGGCAUGAAUCUAACAAUUAUGAGUAAUGUCUUUGUGACAAGAACUUUCUUUGUCUUUUAUUCCCAUGUUUGAACUAGUAUAGGUCAGGGUUACACAUUAUGGUGCACAUCACUUUAUUUGUCAUCGUUACAUUGAACACUCAUUGACUAAACAACGAUGAUCCAUCCGUCUUGUAUUACAGGUCUUCAUUUCAUUGGCCACCGAUGCUUGUAAGACUACUCCCAGAUGGUUGUUGUUGUGGAUAUGGUUGUUGAGGUUGGUGUGGUUGCUGGGGGAAUGGUUGUUGGGGUUGCUGGGAAAUUGUUUGUUCUAGUUGCUGGGAUAAUUGUUGUUGGGGCUGCAGAAAUGGUUGUUGUGGUUGUUGUGGUUGCAGGAUGGAGGGUUGCUGGGAAAAUGGUUGUUGCGGUCGUAGGGGGAAUGGUUGUUGUGGUUGUAGAGGGAAAGGUUGUUGUGGUUGUUGAGGGAAUGGUUGUUGUGGUUGUUGGGGGAAUGAUUGUUGUGGUUGCAGGGGGAAUGGUUGUUGUGGUUGCUGGGGGAANNNNNNNNNNNNNNNNNNNNNNNNNNNNNNNNNNNNNNNNNNNNNNNNNNNNNNNNNNNNNNNNNNNNNNNNNNNNNNNNNNNNNNNNNNNNNNNNNNNNNNNNNNNNNNNNNNNNNNNNNNNNNNNNNNNNNNNNNNNNNNNNNNNNNNNNNNNNNNNNNNNNNNNNNNNNNNNNNNNNNNNNNNNNNNNNNNNNNNNNNNNNNNNNNNNNNNNNNNNNNNNNNNNNNNNNNNNNNNNNNNNNNNNNNNNNNNNNNNNNNNNNNNNNNNNNNNNNNNNNNNNNNNNNNNNNNNNNNNNNNNNNNNNNNNNNNNNNNNNNNNNNNNNNNNNNNNNNNNNNNNNNNNNNNNNNNNNNNNNNNNNNNNNNNNNNNNNNNNNNNNNNNNNNNNNNNNNNNNNNNNNNNNNNNNNNNNNNNNNUGGUUGCAGAGGGAACGAUUGUUGGGUCUGGGGAAAUGGUUGUUGUGGUUGCCAGGAAAAUGGUUGUUGGGGCUGUGGAAAAGGUUGUUGUGGUUGUUGGGGUUGCUGGGGGAAUGGUUGUUGUGGUUGUAAGGGGGUCGGUUGUUGGGGUUGGGGAAAUAAUUGUUGUGAUUGCUGGGGAAAUUGUUGUUGGGGUGUGGAAAAUGGUUGUUGUGAUGGAUAUGGUUGCUGUGAUGGAUAUGGUUGUUGUGGAUAUGGCUGUUGUGGAAAUAGUUUUUGUUGAUGGGAAAAUGAUUGUUGAGGUGAUUGUAACUCUUUGUUGUUAGGGUUUAGUUGCCUAGCGGCAAUGGCGGUGUUCAUCGCCAUGGCAAGGAGGACAAAGAUGAGGAAGGUCUUCAUGUUGGAUUUGUGGUUACUACUGCUUGCUUGCCUUUGAUGCUUGUGGUCUAGGUGUGUGAAGUUUUGUUGAUGGAAGGUGUCCUUGGUGGUGCAUGUGUAUUUAUAGUUUUCAUGGCAUGGCUUGCUUUCAUCUUUGCACUCGCUCUUUGAAAAAGUGCAUCAAUGCUUAUCCAACUAAUCAUUUGGUUUGUUGUGUUUGGUGCAACUACUUACUAGUGAGAUUUUGGAUUUUCAUGAUAGUUGUUUUUUGUUGAAAUCAUCUGGUUGUAAGGAAUGUUGGAUAAUGACCAAUGACUCAUCUUCUUCACUUUACACUGCAAACAUUGAUCUAGAUUAUGUCCCUUUUUGAAAUUUAGUUUGUGGAGCUCUACAUGUUGUUAGGCUUAUCCAUAUUGGCAUAGCUUGAGUGGAGCUAAGUUUGUAAGCUUGUGUGCGCCAUUAUGAUGGAUCACACUAUUAAUGUGAUGAUUGUUUUACAAAUUAUCUUUCCAAAACUAACUUUAUGUUUUUUGCCCAAUAUGAUUCUAAGACGGAUAACCAGACAUGACUCAUCAAAUAACAAGAUAAACCGAGUAGCAAGUUGGGGGUUAUAAGUUAUAAUAUGGACUUUUCUCUAAGAUACACCAUCUUGUCUUGCAUGCUCUGUGGAUUUGAAAAGCAUCUACUAAUUUAGAUGCAAUUGAAACAAAAGUAGACUAAAAAGGUAAGCAAUGAAAUGAGAAUACUAUUAUGUGAAGCUCUACAUGUCUGGUAAGCAGUGAGAUACUGGAUACAUCUAUAUCUUCAAUCCUUUCAUCCCUAUCAACUCUUUAUUGGCUGCUUUUAUCGUAGUCAUCCCUUAAAUAAAAAUCACUUAAAUAUAAGUUUGGGAGUUAGUACCAACAUAUAUCAUGUACAAGAUAGAAAACUAAGGCACAUAUAGUAGUCUAUUGACCAUAUUUAAUUUCUUGUGAUGUGAAAGCAUGUGGAGUAUAAGUUGGUUAAAUAUAAAGUUGUCCUUCAUACCAGUAGGGAAAGAAUAUGCAGUAUAAAGAUUAGAGCAUUGGACUAAUAUGCUAUUAAAUGCUACAGGAUAAUUGACAGUUCAAGUUAAGAACAACAUUAGCAUUCCAACUUUUGUCUUGUGCAAGUUAAGAACAUGCUAACAAAGUAACCUAAGCAAAUAAGUGCAAAACCUUCACCUAUAAGGAAAUUGUGAAACUACACAAAAUGACCUAUUGUAAAGAAGGAAAAAAAUCUAAAGGUGAAUGAAAGAACGUUAAGUACAUUCAGGAUUCGAUUAUGCCUUCAUGGAUAACCUUUUAGAUGGUGACAUGUCCAUGUUGAUGUGUGUCGGCAUGGAACGAGGACAAGAAGACGUCGUUGCGUCGUACUUUGGGAAUUUCAUCAAACUGGUUGUGUGCGGGAACAAAUAUUUGUCGCCUCCCUGCUCAAAUCUCUCUUCAUGUCACUGAAUCCGACACUCCACCUACCAAAAUCAGCUGCAAGCCAGGGAUAAUCAACGGGUUUCUCCGCCCGUAGCAUCUAUCACCAAAAGUAGUUCAGACUAUAGUCUUGUAGUUCAAAAUUUUGUAAUAACAAGCACUACUAGGUUGCUUUUGUUUGUACGUCUUCAUUCUGUACAACCCAUGGAACUAAAAAUGCAUUGGUCAUUCUUUGUUCUAUACAACCAAUUCAACCAAAAAUGCAUUGGGCUUUUCUUUGUACAUCUUCGGGUUCUACAACCAAUGCAACAAAAAAUCCAUUGGGUAGUCUUCCAUUCUAGUCGGGCACCAACAGUUAAAUGAGGAGCUAAACAAUGUUGGAGUCUAAAACUACAUACAAUCAUGAAGCAUAGAGAGGCGACUUGGAAGCUGUGCUCCUGUGAGCUCGUAUUUUUGUAGACAAAAAGUAAUGUUUGUAUUUUGAAGUGGGAAAAAAUCCUAAAAAGGGAUGUUUUGCGGGUUAUAACUUACUAUUUUUGGGUCCUGGGCUGCAGGAAGGUCGUCAAAAUCAAUGUGUUUUCCCAUUCAAUGCAUGUUUCUUGGGUUAUAGGUCACGCUUUUGGUGUCCUAGGGAGAUCACUUCCCCGGUCAAGAACAUUAGGUGAUGAUUUUUAGAAAAACUCAUUGUUUUAGCCUAACUAGUUUCGAGGAUUGGUGGACGGGAUUAUCAUGGAACAAAGUGACAACCUUCCUUUUCUUCAUGCCUAAUAUAAACUUAGCAGUCAGCUAAAAGUAACUAGCGAUAUCACAGAAUGUUUUUUGUCAAAAGUAGAUACCACUUCAGGAUUCAACUCGGUUAGUUCAAUCACAGACAUGUUAAGAGCAGGAUUUACAACUAACUGCAUAGGGAACAUCUCCUUUUAUCACCCACUAUCUGUCUGUGCACUUUGGUUUUCCCGUAGCAUCACACAAAGCACUUUGUUAGUACCAAUAAUGUGCUCCAACUCUACACAUUAAUCAUCUUGAAUUCUUCUACUGAUGUCGAACAAUGUAAUAUCUUGAAUUCUUCUAACGAGUUCGGAUUAGACUACAUGGGCAAUUUAUCUGGUCCCUGAGAUGCAAGGUCGAUGAACAAUCGCUUCGUCUUAUGACGAGGGGUUGUUUUUGCCUAAGAAACUAAUACAUGUAACUUCGACACCGGAUUAAUAAAUGGUAAAACCUAAAUAAAUUAGAUCACGAGCUAAACCAUUUACUUUUGUAUGCAUUUAAACUUUUGAUACAUAUGAGCUUGUUAAGAUGUUCGCAUAAACACCAUGGUGAUUUGAAGCAAGACAAAGUAAACUUGAACCGCUUGAGCCACUGACUUAAUAAGAACCUCCUUUCCCGCGGCAGAGAUUGUUUUUAAUACAUCCACUCACUUUGGCCCAUAGUUUGUCUUUGAGAUACUUAAAAGCACUAGACAUAGAAUUGACAAUAUUAGAAGGCAAGCCCAAAUAUUUCACAUUUAGUGUUUCUACUUGGACACUGAGACCACCUUUGACCUCAUUUUUGACAUUCUCUCUGCAAUCCUUGCUGAGAAACACUGAAGGCUUCCUAUUUAUUUAUUCUUGACCUAAAGCUUCAUUGCGUCUUGCCUUGGUCUUGCACUACUUGCGGCACAAUACGCCUUUGGAACUGCCGUUCCGAAUUCAGAGUGCCGAAGGUGGUGUGACGAUGUUGAGAUACCGUACUCGUUCGGUAGUGAUUCGGGUUGAUCAUUCAGAGUAGACUUUGACAAUAGCUGCAAGGACAAGAUUGCAUUAGGGAGCCUUUUAAUUACACCUCGGAGGUGCUCAGCAUCUUCUUGAUGAACAACAUGGUCCUAGUGUUGAAUAAUAUCAUAUGGGGUAGUGCUACAACAACUCCACCACAAGCAUGGAGGAAUUUAGCAAAUUCCAUCAGUACUAGGAGAAAGCCUAGUAGCAACGCGAGGUAAAGGACUACUAGUAGCGCGGGUGCCCACGCUACUACUAGGGUGCUACAGCUAAUUGGUAGUAGUAGCGUGGGUGACACCCUGCGCUACUACCACGUCUGUUAGUAUAGUAGCGCGAGUGUCACCCGCACUACUACUAGUUAUCUGUAGCCCGGGUCUGACCCCACGCUACUACUAACUAAUUAGGAAUUAAAAAAAUAAAUUCCAUCCAUGGUUGCUGCUGCUGGGCGUCAUCGUCCUCUCCGUCCAUGGCUGAUGUUGGUCCUGGAGGGGAUGACGUCGUCCAUGGUGAUGGUACUUCCUCACCCAAAUCGUCCCCACACCUCUCCUAUGCUACUGCUACAAAAUAAGAGAAAACGAUUAGAAGAGGAAGAGAGAUAUUGAGAGGAGUAGGAGGAGCAACUGACCGGUGGCCGCCGGAGUUGGAGCUGAUGCCCGAAACCCUAGACGAUGCCCGGUGACCUGUUGCUUCUUUUCCUGGGACCUCAUGUCCUCACAAGGCCAUGUCUCAGCGAGGAAGUGCAAGUGGUUGCGUAGCAGAUCUGUUCAUCGCCAUUGGUGGCGCUCUGUUGGAUCUUCCUCUCCUUCCAGCAUCGGAGAAGGAGGAGGAAGGAGGCGAAGGUGAGGCGUAAGUCAGUGGCCCAAAAUUUUUAUAUAGAUGAGACUUACUAAGUAAUAACCCCAUAGAAUCUAUCUAUAUAAAGAUAAAGAGGCAAUCGUGUCAGGAAGCGGGUUUUUCUUUGGCCAAAAGGUACUUAGAACUUGGAACGAGCAUGAAGAGAUUAACGAGACUUCUUUCUCUUUUGAGUUUUUCUGGCGGACCUGCCGCGCAAGAUCUUUGGUCUUCCCCUGGAACCGAUGAAAAAAAGUGGAUUGCUUCUUAUGUACUCGCUCAGCUUAAGAUGCUCGCAUAAUCCCCGUGGUAAUUUGAAGCAAUACAUAGAGUAAACUAGAACUGCUUGAGCCACUAACUUAAUGAGAACCUCCUUUCCCGUAGGAUAUAUCAUUUUUUCAAUCCAUCCAUUCACUUUGGCCCAUAGUAUGUCUUUGAGAUACUUAAAAGCAGUAGAUUAGAAUUACCAAUAUCAUAAGGCAAGCCCAAAUAUUUCUCAUUUAGUGUUUCUGUUGGACACUGAGAACACCUUUGACCUCAUAUCUAACAUUCUCUACACAACCCUUGCUGAGAAACACUGAAGACUUGCUAUUAUUUAUUCUUUGACCUGAAACUUGGCAAUAGGUUUGACACAUCUGUCGCCCCUGAACCAUUUGCCUUGAAAAACAGCAGGCUGUCAUCUGCAAAUAACAAGUGGUUAACUGAUGCCACCAAAGGAGCUACUUGGAUUCCAGUAAACUGGGAUGACUAGUCUCUAGAUUUGAGGAGGCCCGAAAGGCCAUGUACUGCUAACAGGAAAAUCAAGGUGAAUUGGAUCUUGCUGCCGUAUACCACGGGUAGGUUUGAGCUCAUCAAGUUUCUUGCUCUUGAAUAAAAUUGAAUAAGAUACAGAAGCUACCAUGCUCAUUUCUAUGGAGGCCCAUUUAACAGAGAAUCCAAAGUUGAGAUUUAUCACCUCCAAAUACGCCCAUUCAACUAGAUUAUAAGCCUUCAUCAUAUCCAAUUUUAGAGUACAAUGGUGAUGUUACAAUGACUUAUUCCUUUUCAUGAAAUGUAAGCACUCGUAGGCCACGAUUAUAUUGUCAGUGAUAAGGCGACCCGGAACAGAAGCCGACUCUUCACUCAAUAUUAUCUCCGGAAGGGCCCCUUUUAGCCGGUUAGCCAGAACUUUGGGUGUUAUUUGUAAAGUUGCAUAGGCUAAUACGACAGAACUGGCUUAGGAAAGUACCAUUUUGUACCUCAUCACUAUCCUCGCCACAAUACAAAGGACAACCAUUGUUACCUCCUCGCCGCAAAUAUCCCAAUGUUUCUCAAAGAAAUGUUCAAAGAAUCCGUCCGGGCCCAAGGCCUUCAUGCGGAACAUUUGAAACAAUACAAUUUAAACCUUGUUGUAGAAUACUUAGCGUCAAGGAAGGCAUUCAUCGCAUCACUGACCUUUACUGGAACCAAGUCAGGAAAUCAUGCAUAUUAGAAACAGUCUCAGAAGUGAAAAGCUCCGAGUAAAACUAUGUUGUGAUCUCUUCCAAUUCCUUAAGAACACUGAUAACAUCACAUUAGGUUGCUACAAUGAUUUGGUCAAAUUAUUCCGCCUUCUCAUCGAAGCCCUUAAGUGAAAGAAGCAUGUGGUCUUGUCCCCACUAAUCAGCCACUUAAUCUGAGAUCUAGUAGGCAAGAUGAGUGACGGGAAGUAGUUCGGAACAAUUUCCUCUUAUUCACUUCUAAAACAAAUUUUCGGUUUUUGUCGUUCCUAAGCCAAGGAUUUGAUAAAUAUUCAUAAAUUUUUAAAAUGUUCACCAAUAUUAAAAACAUCAUGAUUUUAAAAAACCGUGAUUUUUAAACAAAAUCAUAAAUAUGAAAAUUGCCAUUCACAAAAUUUUAAAAUAAAAUCAUGAAUUUUAAAAGAAUUUUCAAAAUUUUGAUAAAUAUCUACGAAUUUUACAACUUUGAUGAAUUUUAAAAACAAACCAUAACAAAAAAACACUAGCAAGUUCGAUCCUAAAAAAUGCCUUGCCUUCUACUAUGCGUAGCGUGCAUGGACAGCCGGACCUAGACACCCUAGACCAAAAACCCUACAUCUGGGCCAGGCCCGAGCUCCAUUUUUUGGCCCAAAGCCCAGCCCAAAAAGGCAGAAAUGGUAAGAAAUGUAUACUUUAUUCAAAAUAUAGGUAUAUUAUAUUGUUUUAGUAUCUCAAAUAAUUAUUUAAAUUGAAAAAUGUCGUUGUUCAUGUGUUUCUGGACGGGCCAAGCCAGGCUCAUGCUUGGGAUUUUUGCUUCGGGCUUUGACAACCUGGCCCGGGGUAUGAUCAAGUUCAGCAUGGCCCAGUCACACACCCUUGUACAACAUUUUGUUGUAGAGAGCGGCAAAUAUAAUUUUCCCGAUCUAAUAUUGCUCGCUAUAAGUCUAUAUCUAUACUUUUUUCUAUACCCAUACUAAUAAAGCAAGGUGCGUUUCCCCAAUUUUUUCAUUCAUUCACUGUCGAAAACAAUUAUGUUUCCUAUCCGAGGUGGUCCUAAAUUCUUAUGCGUUCAUCUGCUAAAAGAAAGGCUUUUCCGGAAUUUCUUACGUGGGUUGCGCGCUAUGGCCAGUGAAGUCAGCCCACUUAUUUUUCUGCCCAUGCAGCUCUAAAAAAUCUAUUUAACACACAGGGCAAGAAAUAGUCGGCACUUCAAACUGGAAAACAAAUAAUGGGCUAGCCAAUUUUUCUUUGUUUCUGUGUUUUAUUUCUAUUUUUAUUCUCCUUCCCCGAUUUCUUUUUUCACUUCCAAGUUUACAUUUCUUAUAGAAUUUAUUUUAUAAAUUCAAAAUUCUCAAAAAACAUAGAGAAUUUUAAAAAAAUGGAAAAUGUUCAUAACUCCAAUUUUUUUGCUAUUUAAAUUUUUUUCAGAACUUGAAUUUUUUCCCUUUUUCCGAAAAUUUUAUUGUUUUUUAAAAUUGUUAGAGAUUUCUAAAAAGAAAAUGGAAAUUUAAAAAGUCUUCCAAAUUCGAAAAAAAAUCAUGUUUUAGUGAAAUUUUCACAACUCAAAUUAUUCUUAAAAAAUACACAUUUUAAAAAGUAAGGAUUUUCAAUACAUGUUCCCGUUCUAAAAAAAUGUUGACAAAUUCAAAUAAUGUUCAUGUUUUUAUUUUAAAAGUUCGUGUUUUCAAAAAUGUUUGUAAAUUCUAAAAGAUGUUCCUAUUUCAUAUUUUGUUCAUGUUUUUCUGAAAGUGUACCUAAUUUUCAAAAAACUGUUCAGGAUUUAAAAAAUGGUUCAUGUUGCCUACAAUAUUGAGAAACUUCAUACCUUAAAAUCUCCUCGAUUGAAGGAACCAUAGAUUGAAUAAUUCAUGGGCCUUCUCUGGUGGACGAUGACGUAGCAAAACUCUUAAAUGCCCUCAAUCAAUGAAUGGAAAAAUAGCGAAUUGAGUACUUCACACCCAGCGAAACAAAGAAGCUAAAUGUUCCCUUUUUACGUGCGCACAGGGUUUUGCUUGCACAAAUAAUUCUCACUAACUUCCAAUGCAUACUAAUUUUUCUCCCAUUGCGAAGCACAAGCAUAUGUGCUAGUUUUAUCCACGGUGGUACUAAAUUUUUUUGAGUCCAUCUGCUAGAAAAAGGAAAAACAGUUUUGUCAAAAUUUUCGUACAUGGGCCGCGCGCGCUGUGGCCCAGCGAAGCUGGCCCAUUUAUUUCCGGCCGAAGCAGCUGAGAAUAAUUAUUUAACGCUUGGGGCGGCAAAUAGACAAAGUUUCGCAUAGGGCGCCAAAUAUUUGGUCGGCCCAUAUUUGUUUUCUCUCUAGUUUGUUUCUUUUUUUAUUUUCCUUUCUCCUUUUCUUAUCUCUUUACUUUUUCUUUUUUCCCUUUCAAGUUAAUUUUUCUUUUCUCCUUUUCCAUAAAUUAAAUUUUUCAAUAUUUCAGAAUUUUAGUUUUGGAUUAAAUUUUCGUAAAAUCUUCAUAAUUAUUUCUCCCCAUUUUGAAUUGUUUUUAAACUAUAAUUUUUUCUUCUUCUUCUUCCAAAAUUUAUUCAAAACUAUAGAAUAAAGUUCGCAUAUUAAUUUUUUUAUGCUUUCCAAAAUUGUUUGAUAUUUUCAAAAUAUAUUGCAUUAAAAAAUUAAAUAUUUAGAUUUUAUUGAAAUGUUAAUUCAAAGUAAUGUUUGUGUUUAAAAACAUGUUUUUCAAAAUUCUUUUCAAUGUCCAAAACACGUUUUCAUUUCCAAAAAAAAUCACGUAUUCAAAACAUGUUUGCUUUCUUAUAAUAGGUUCAUGUUUUCAAAAAACAUAAAUUUCAAAAAAAUUGUCACAUCUUAAAGAAUAUUCAAAAUAUCGUAAUUAUUACUUUAUUUUUUGAAAAAAAUCAAGAAAAACAGAAAAAAAAAUGUAUAUUAUGCUACAGUAUAUUCUUAAAAUUUCGCCCUCGCCAUUUGUUAGCAUGAGCUGUUUGUUCGAGUGGCUAGCAGCACGUGGUCGAGUUUUUGAGGUCAUGAGUUUGAUCCUUCAACUCAGUGGUUGUUUUGGAUUUUUAUUCACGCCUUACAAAUACAAGUCAUUUUGGUACCUGCCAGCGGCCUUGCCAGACUCGAACUGCCGUGCAUCCGACGUGCUAUUUGACGAUAAAAGAGAAUAUGUUGCUUGACUAUAAUUAAAAAAAUGUGGGCACAUGCCAAUAAAAGAGGAUAUGCUGGUUUGACUCUGAUUAAAAAAAUGUUGGCAAGUGAGCGUCGAAAUAAUUAAAGAGAAUAAACCCUGGUAAAGUAGGGACUACCUGGUUACGUGCUUAUUAUACCAAAGAAACGGGAUUUCCUGCAAUUAGUACUUCAACCGGUUACACCAUCAUAGGAGAGAGUAGUCGAAGCAACUAUGCCACGAAGGUCGCCGUGCUGCACAAAAUGAGGAGGCAACCGCAACCUAGACACGGAGGCAGACUCGGAGAAAAAAAAGCGCAAGUUGGGUGGUGGCCACCACUCCAGCAACCCCAUCAAUAUCAAGAACUCGUGGGCCAAACAUGAUCUCAAGAACAUCGCCGGGGAGACCUUUUGAUGGACACAUCAAUUAUCUCUCCUGAUACUUCUCGUUAAAAAUAUCUUUCUAGUUCUAACGCACGGGCAUAUGUGCUAGUGAUAUAUAAAAUAUGUUGUGCCAAUGAGCACACGGGCUAGCGAGACUCGCCAUGCUUUCAUGUCAUACCGGAGUCCAAACACUCAACUGGAGGGUCCAACCUUAGCGACAGAGUCUUCUUUUGUUGGGAGAAUCUAUAUAUCCGCGAGUGUUAUAUCUCGCAUCUGGUUUACGCGCAGUGCACCUAACCACUAGGCUUUGCCUUACAUUCAUGACAGAGUAGUAAAGCUAGAUUGUUUAAGUCCACACGAGUCAAGGUUUUCAAUGUUUCUUCUCCAUUUUUUUUCAUUUUUUCAUUUUUGUUUUUAUAUUUAUUUCUGUCGGGUUUGUUUGAUCCCUUUCGAGGGCAUAAUAGAGGAACCACACCGUGGUGAUGUGGAUGGGUUUAUAGAUACCAUCACUGUAGGGGAAACGAGGAAGGUUUUCGAUGCACGAAUCACUAGCAUACAUUUUCAUGUUUUACGCUAAUUUGCAAUAUUUGCUAGUCGUUGCUUAAUUGGUUGCGGAAACUGUGGAAACCUUAGUGUUCCUGAUAUUAUUAUUUUGUUCCACGGUUUAUUCUGUGAUAACUCUAUUAGUAUGGGCGGUAUUAUUCCUAAAUGGUUAAGUCUGAACUGUACAAAGGGCCCCAUCUUUGGAGGCAUCUAUGCUUCACACCUAGCUGCGCAUUUUAACAUAGCUAUUAGGCAUUAUGAGAAGGAAGAAAAAUUGCUACCCCCUGUUUAUUUAGAUUAUAAUAGUAUGGUGGCACAUGAUUUUAUUGUUAAGAAUAAGGAAGGGGAGCUUAAAUACAAAUUGUUCUUUGAUAAACAUCAUCCUGAGACUAUUACCCUGCCUGCUCCUUCCUUGUUUGAUUUAUCUGCAGGCAAGUACCUCGUUCCAUUAGAGGCUAUUCACGCCUACCGAAACCCUACAUCAGCCAUAGAGCCAGAGUCGGAACCACAAGUUGAUUCUCCAUGACAGUCUAAUUACCAUUGGGAUCCAGAAAUGAUUGCCACCAGUGGCAAUCAGAGUCUUCUUCGCAGUACGACCCCAACUAUUACUAUGGAUAUCCGCCAGGCCAGCCGUGGCCAUAGACCAACUUAGGUCAAAAGCCUAAACUUGGGGGAGUACGUAUUUCCCGCCGACAUUACAUUCAUGUUCGCACACUCAUUGCUAGAUGUCGGUGCUCAUACUUUUUCAUUGUAUCAUCCAUACUAGUUCAUUUCCUUUUUAAGCUUUCUUCUUGUGUGUUUAAUAAACCUUAAGAAAAACCAAAAACAUUAGUUGUAGCUUUUAGCUAGUUUUAAUUUCCAUGCUCGUAGUAGUAAUUAAAAAGAAAACCCAAAAAAAAGAUUUCAUGUUCUUCUUUUGCUUGUUGGGAGCUUUCCCGUGUAAAUAGUUUUAUUUCUUUUCUUUUCUUUGGGGGUCGAUAGGAGAAGACCAUGAUUAAAUUGUUGAAGUGGCUCUUAUAUGUAUUUUUGUUGAUCUGACAAAAGAGCCCAUAUUGCCUCGACUUCUCCUGUUUAUUGAAUGCUUGCAGAUUCCAGCUUAGUCCAAUGCACGUGCACUAUUAUUAUUAUCCACAUCAUUCGGUCGUGCAAGUGAAAGGCAAUUAUGACGAUAUAUGAUGGACUGACUGAGAUGAGAAAAGCUGGUAUGAACUCAACCUGUCUUGUUUUUGUAAAUAUGAUUAGUUCAUCGUUCCUGAUUCAGCCUAUUAUGAAUAAACAUGUUUGCAAUGACAACUAGAGAUCAUAGUUUCUUGUGCCAUGCUUGAUUAGCUAGGAGCUUAUAAUGGUUUACCUUGCGUGCCAACAUGCUAUUAAAAUGGUUGUGAUGUGGUAUGAUAGGGUGGUAUCCUCCUCUGAACGAUUCGAGUGGCUUGACUUGGCACAUAUUCACGCAUGUAGUUGAAACAAAAUCAACAUAGCCUCUACGAUAUUUAUGUUCAUGGUGAAUUAUAUCCUACUCAUGCUUGCAUUCGGUGCUGAUUAAUUUUAAUGCAUGUUUAUGACUGUUGUCGCUCUCUAGCUGGUCGCUUCCCAGUCUUUUGCUAGCCUUCACCUAUACUAAGCGGGAAUACUACUUGUGCAUCCAAUCCCAUAAACCCCAAAGUUAUUCCAUAUGAGUCCACCAUACCUACCUAUUUACGGUAUCUACCUGCCGUUGCAAGUAAAUUUGUAUGUGCCAAACUCUAAACCUUCAAAUAAAUAUCAUGUUUUGUAUGCUCGAAUAGCUCAUGUAUCAACUAGGUUUGUCUGUAUCUUUCAUGUUAGGCGGGUUAUUCUCAAGAGGAGUGGACUCCGCUCCUCACUCGCGAGAAAAUGGCUGGUCACCCGGAUGCCUAGUCCCAUGCUUUAUGCAAAUCAAAUCAAAAUAAUUGCAAACAAAAUUGCCCCUGGGACUCUUGUUAGUUGGAGGCACUCGUUGUUUCGAGCAAGCCAUGGAUUGAUGCUUGUUGGUGGAGGGGGGGUAUAAAAUUUUCCAUUCUGUUUGGGAACCGCCUAUAAUGUGUGUAGCAUGGAAGAUAUCACCAUCUCUUGGUUGUUAUGUUGACAAUGAAAGUAUACCGCUCAAAAUAUUAUUUACCUCUAUUUCAAAAUCGAGCUCUGGCACCUCUACAAAUCCCUGCUUCCCUCUGCGAAGGGCCUAUCUAUUUACUUUUAUGUUGAGUCAUCAUCCUCUUAUUAAAAUGCACCAGUUGGAGAGCACCGUUGUCAUUUGCAUUCAUUACUAUUAUUUUACAUUGAAUAUGACUUGACUGGAUCUCUUUUACCAUGAAUUACAAUGUCUAGUCAGUCCUUGAUCUUUAAAGGUGCUCUACAUUUAUGUUUUGCGGUCUCAGAAAGGGCUAGCGAGAUACCAUCUUGUUAUAUCAUAUCAUGAUUGUUUUGAGAAAGUGUUGUCAUCCGAGAUUUAUUGUUAUUGCUCGCUAGUUGAUUAUGCCAUUGAUAUGAGUAAACAUGAUACAUAAAUGUUAUUGGAAUAUGGUUAGUUCAUAAUCUUUGCUGAAAACUUGAAUGCUGGCUCUACAUAUUUACAACAACAAGAGCAAACAGAGUUUGUAAAAGUUUUUCUUUAUCACUUUCAGUUUAUCAACUGAAUUGCUUGAGGACAAGCAAAGGUUUAAGCUUGAGGGAGUUGAUACGUCUCCGUCGUAUCUACUUUUCCAAACACUUUUGCCCUUGUUUUGGACUCUAACUUGCAUGAUUUGAAUGGAACUAACCCGGACUGACGUUGUUUUCAGCAGAAUUGCCAUGGUGUUAUUUUUGUGCAGAAAUAAAAGUUCUCGGAAUGACCUAAAAAUCAAAGGAGAAUUAUUUUGAAAUAUAUAAAAAAUAUUGGAAGGAAGAUCCACGUCAGGGGGGCCUCCACCUGUCCACGAGGGUGGAGAGCGUGCCCUACCCCCCUGGUGCUACCUCUUGAGCACUGCGUUGGUUUUCCCUUGAAGAGGAAAGGGUGAUGCAGUAAAGUAGUGUAAGUAUUUCCCUCAGUUUUUGAGAACCAAGGUAUCAAUCAAGUAGGAGAUCACGCUCGAGUCCCGCGCACCUACACAAACAAAUAAGAACCUCGCAACCAAUGCAAUAAAGGGGUUGUCAAUCCCUUCACGGUCACUUACGAGAGUGAGAUGUGAUAGAUAGGAUAAGAUAAUAUUUUUGGUAUUUUUAUGAUAAAGAGAAAUAAAGAUGCAAAGUAAAAUAAACAGCAAUAGAAAUAACUAAGUAUCACCUGGGCGCACCCCCCUGCCUCGUGGACCCCCUGACGCUCCACCGACCUCAACCCUGACUCCAUAUAUUCACUUUCGGGGAGAAAAAAACCAGAGAGAAAGAUUCAUCAUGUUUUACGAUAUGGAGCCGCCGCCAAGCCCUAAACUCUCUCGGGAGGGCUGAUCUGGAGUCUGUUCGGGGCUCCGGAGAGGGGAAUCCGUCGCCAUCGUCAUCAUCAACCUUCCUCCAUCACCAAUUUCAUGAUGCUCACCGCCGUGCGUGAGUAAUUCCAUCGUAGGCUUGCUGGACGGUGAUGGGUUGGAUGAGAUUUAUCAUGUAAUCAAGUUAGUUUUGUUAGGGUUUGAUCCCUAGUAUCCACUAUGUUCUGAGAUUGAUGUUGCUAUGACUUUGCUAUGCUUAAUGCUUGUCACUAGGGCCCGAGUGCCAUGAUUUCAGAUCUGAACCUAUUAUGUUUUCAUCAAUAUAUGAGUGUUCUUGAUCCUAUCUUGCAAGUCUAUAGUCACCUACUAUGUGUUAUGAUCCGGCAACCCCGAAGUGACAAUAAUCGGGACCACUCCUGGUGAUGAUCGUAGUUUGAGGAGUUCAUGUAUUCACUAUGUGUUAAUGCUUUGGUCUGGUACUCUAUUAAAAGGAGGCCUUAAUAUCCCUUAGUUUCCGCUAGGACCCUGCUGCCACGGGAGGGUAGGACAAAAGAUGUCAUGCAAGUUCUUUUCCAUAAGCACGUAUGACUAUAUUCGGAAUACAUGCCUACAUUACAUUGAUGAAUUGGAGCUAUUUCUGUGUCACCCUAGAUUAUGACUGUUACAUGAUGAACCGCAUCCGACAUAAUUCUCUAUCACCAAUCCAUUGCCUACGAGCUUUCCAUAUAUUGUUCUUUGCUUAUUUACUUUUCCGUUGCUAUUGCUAUCAUCACUAUAAAACAACAAAAACAUUACUUUUGCUAUCGUUACCUUUUGCUACCGUUACCACUACUAUCAUAUUACUUUGCUACUAAACACUUUGCUGGAGAUAUUAAGUUUCCUGGUGUGGUUGAAUUGACAACUCAGCUGCUAAUACUUGAGAGUAUUCUUUGGCUCCCCUUGUGUCGAAUCAAUAAAUUUGGGUUCAAUACUCUACCCUCGAAAACUGUUGCGAUCCCCUAUACUUGUGGGUUAUCAUUGCUCCUGCAGCGGGUCUUGCACCUAGCGGUGCUUCUAGGACGUAAUUCUUCUGUGUAGCAAUGAGGAUAAUUCUCAAGUUAUGGACCCAGUCCGUGUAGUUGCUACCAUCAUCUUUCAACUUAGCUUUCUCUACGAACGCAUUAAAAUUCAAAGGAACAGUAGCAGGGGCCAUUGAUCUACAAUAACAUAGACAUGCAAAAUACUAUUAGGUGCUAAGUUCAUGAUAAAUUAAAGUUCAAUUAAUCAUAUUACUUAAGAACUCCCACUUAGAUAGACAUCCCUCUAGUCAUCCAAAUGAUCACGUGAUCCAUAUCAACUAAACCAUGUCUGAUCAUCACGUGAGAUGGAGUAGUUUCAAUGGUGAACAUCACUAUGUUGAUCAUAUCUACUAUAUGAUUCACGCUCGACCUUUCGGUCUCAGUGUUCCGAGGCCAUAUCUGCAUAUGCUAGGCUCGUCAAGUUUAACCCGAGUAUUCUGCGUGUGCAAAACUGGCUUGCACCCGUUGUAUGUGAACGUAGAGCUUAUCACACCCGGUUAUCACGUGGUGUCUCGGCACGAUGAACUAUAGCAAUGGUGCAUACUCAGAGAGAACACUUGUACCUUGAAAUUUAGUGAGAGAUCAUCUUAUAAUGCUACCGCCGUACUAAGCAAAAUAAGAUGCAUAAAGGAUAAACAUCACAUGCAAUCAAAAUAAGUGAUAUGAUAUGGCCAUCAUCAUCUUGUGCCUUUGAUCUCCAUCUCCAAAGAACCGUUAUGAUCACCAUCAUCACCGGCUUGACACCUUGAUCUCCAUCGUAGCAUCGUUGUCAUCUCGCCAACUAUUGCUUCUACGACUACCGCUACCGCUUAGUGAUAAAGUAAAGCAAAAACAAGUGUGAUGUCCUCUACUUUGUUGUUGCAAGUUUUACGUGGCUGCUACGGGCUUCUAGCAAGAACCGUUCUUAUCUACGCCUCAAAACCACAACAAUUUUUCGUCAAGUGUGUUGUUUUAACCUUCAACAAGGAUCGGGCGUAGUCAAACUCGAUUCAACUAAAGUUGGAGAAAUAGACACCCACUAGCCACCCGUGUGUGAAGCACCUCGGUAGAACCAGUCUCAUGAACGCGGUCAUGUAAUGUCGGUCUGAGCCACUUCAUCCAACAAUACCGCCAAAUCAAAGUAAGACGUUGCUGGUAAGAAGUAUGACUAUUAUCGUCCACAACUCAUUGUGUUCUACUCAUGCAUAUAACAUCUACGCAUAGACCUGGCCCGGAUGUCACUGUUGGGAAACGUAUUAUUUCAAAAAAAAAUCCUACAAUCACGCAAGAUAUAUCUAGGAGAAGCAUAGCAAUGAGCGGGGAGAGUGUGUCCACGUACCCUCGUAGACCGAAAGCGGAAGCAUUUAGUAACACGGUUGAUGUAGUCGAACGUCUUUGCGAUCCAACCAAUCCAAACACCUAACGUACGGCACCUCCGCAUUCAGCACACGUUCAGCUCGAUGACAUCCCUCGAGCUCUUGAUCUAGUUGAGGCCGAGGGAUAGUUCCGUCAUCGCGAUGGCGUGGCGACGGUGAUGAUGAAGUUACCGGCGCAGGGCUUCGCCUAAGCACUACGACGAUAUGACCGAGGUGUGUAACUGUGGAGGGGGGCACCGCACACGGCUAAGAGAAACUUGUGUCUUUGGGGUGCCCCCUCCCACGUAUAUAAAUGGAGGGAGGAGGCCGGCCCAAGGGGGGGCGCCACAUGUGGGGAGUCCUACUAGGACUCCCUUGUCCUAGUAGGAUUCCCCUCUCCUUUCCUUUUACGGAGGGGGAAAGGGGGGAAGGAGAGGAGGGGAAGAGGGAAAGGGGGGCACGCCCCCUCCCCUUCCUAUUCGGACUCCACUUGGGGGGGACGCGCACGCCUCCCCCUUGUGGGUUGUCCCCUCUUCUCUCCCAUGGCCCAUAAGGCCCAUGAUUUCCCCCAGGGGGUUCCCGUAACCUCCCGGUACUCCGAAAAAAUUCCCGAAUCACUCGGAAUCAUUCCGAUGUUCAAAUGCAACCUUACAAUAUAUGAAUCUUUACCUCUCAACCAUUUUCGUGAUCUCAUCUGGGACUCCGAACAAACUUCAGUCAUCAAAUCACAUAACUCAUAAUACAAAUUGGCAUCGAACGUUAAGUGUGUGGACCCUACGGGUUUGAGAACUAUGUAGACAUGACCGAGACACAUCUCCGGUCAAUAACCAAUAGCGGAACCUAGAUGCUCAUAUUGGCUCCUACAUAUCUACGAAGAUCUUUAUCGGUCAAACCGCAUAACAACAUACGUUGUUCCCUUUGUCAUAUGUAUGUUAUUUGCCCGAGAUUCGCUCGUCGGUAUCCUCAUACCUAGUUCUAUCUCGUUACCGGCAAGUCUCUUUACUUGUUCCAUAAUGCAUCAUCUGGUAACUAACUCAUUAGUCACAUUGCUUGCAAGGCUUAUAGUGAUGUGCAUUACCGAGAGGGCCCAUAUAUACCUCUCUGAUACACGGAGUGACAAAUCCUAAUCUCGAUCUAUGCCAACUCAAGAAACACCAUCGGAGACACCUGUAGAGCAUCUUUAUAAUCACCCAGUUACGUUGUGAUGUUUGAUAGCACACUAAGUGUUCCUCCGGUAUUCGGGAAUUGCAUAAUCUCAUAGUCAUAGGAACAUGUAUAAGUCAUGAAGAAAGCAAUAGCAAUAAAAUUAAACGAUCAUUGUGCUAAGAUAACGGAUGGGUCUUGUCCAUCACAUCAUUCUCUAAUGAUGUGAUCCCGUUCAUCAAAUUACAACACAUGUCUAUGGUUAGGAAACUUAACCAUCUUUGAUUAACGAGCUAGUCUAGUAGAGGCAUACUAGGGACACUCUGUUUGUCUAUGUAUUCACACAUGUACUAAGUUUCCGGUUAAUACAAUUUUAGCAUGAAUAAUAAAGAUUUAUCAUGAUAUAAGGAAAUAUAAAUAACAACUUUAUUAUUGCCUCUAGGGCAUAUUUCCUUCAGGAAGAGCAUUGCGGGUGGGAGGGAGAAGGGGAAUUAAGAGAGUGUAGGUUUCGGUUUGGGCCUCCGCGCGCUAUGUGUACACAUGUGUUGGUGGGUCAAUAGUAGUGGCGCCAGGUUUAUACCCCACACUACUACUAUGGCCUAUCCCGGGGGUACGAUAGAGACCACUUAGUAGUAGCGAGGGAUUUAUACCCCUCGGUACUACUAUCAACUUAGUACUAGUGAGGGAUUUAUACCCCUUGCUACUACUAUCAACUUAGUAGUAGUGAGGGAUUUAUACCCCUCGAUACUACUAUGGCCAGUCCCGGGGGGCACGGUGGAGACCACUUAGUAGUAGUGUGGGGUUUAUACCGCUCGCUACUACUAUCAACUUAGUAGUAGCGUGGGUUCUAUACCCCUCUCUACUAAUAAUUAGCAGCAGUGUGGCCCAUAUACCCCUUGCUACUGUUAAGCAUCUAUCUAUAAAUUAUUUUCUAGUAGUGCAUCAAUGGCGGCGAAAUCAGUCAUUCUGCUUGUUUUCCCUACUAGCUCUCUGACGUCCAGAACAAGUUUACGGUCAUAAGGUGCAAUGCCCUUGCCUUCAUGAGUGACACGAUGACACGGGAACGGGCUUCCAAGCCUAUGGUGUCGCAUCGUGUCGUGGUCUGCUAAACUUAGUGGACGGAUGCUACUCCAAUAUCGGUUGAUCCUAUACUACGGUACCAAGGAAGACACGCAACUACUAUAUAUAUUUCUUCAAGUCAGUCAACACAAGUAAACUCUGGGAGUUCAACUGGUGCAGCUAUGCAAUGCUAAUGGAGACAACACAAUUCAACUUUAGCACUUCACACAUAAGAAAAACCACGUUCAAUGGCACACACCUUAGAGUGUACCUAUGGUGGUUGAAUGGGCUAUAAGAAAUGUGAGUCCAUGUGAAGAUGCCAAACAUAAUAACACGGCUAAUUACACAUGCAGUGGCAGCAGCAACAAGUGCGUGAAUUCAACAAAUGAUCUAGGGUACACAUGCAACGGUGUCCUUGAGUAUGACAACAACCCUUAUCUUCUAGACAAAUGCAUGGUAUGCUACUAAUUUAUUUGCUACAAAUUCCAAUGAAUUGUGUCCUUUGCUUUGUACAUACCCAAUUAUAAUAUUUUAUUAUGCUAAUACAAUGUAGCCUUCAAUUUAAACCAAGGUUUGCAUCCAUUAAUUAUGUUAGGUUCAUAUGACUUCACUACAUAAAUAGGUAGAUAAUGCAUAAGACUGAGAUUGUAGCUAGGGAUGAAAAUCUAAAUACGGCAUGAAUCUAACAAUUAUGAGUAAUGUCUUUGUGACAAGAACUUUCUUUGUCUUUUAUUCCCAUGUUUGAACUAGUAUAGGUCAGGGUUACACAUUAUGGUGCACAUCACUUUAUUUGUCACCGUUACAUUGAACACCCAUUGACUAAACAACGAUAAUCCAUCCGUCUUGUAUUACAGGUCUUCAUUUCAUUGGCCACCGAUGCUUGUAAGACUACUCCCAGAUGGUUGUUGUUGUGGAUAUGGUUGUUGAGGUUGGUGUGGUUGCUGGGGGAAUGGUUGUUGGGGUUGCUGGGAAAUUGUUUGUUCUAGUUGCUGGGAUAAUUGUUGUUGGGGCUGCAAAAAUGGUUGUUGUGGUUGCAGGAUGGAUGGUUGCUGGGGUUGGGGCUGGGGAAAUGAUUGUUGUGAUUGUUGGGGUUGCUGGGAAAAUGGUUGUUGCGGUUGAAGGGGGAAUGGUUGUUGUGGUUAUAGAGGGAAAGGUUGUUGUGGUUGUUGAGGGAAUGGUUGUUGUGGUUGUUGNN
rnacentral:lncRNA from 1 species